rnacentral:lncRNA from 1 species
AACAAUGAAGGCUUUGAGGAAGAAAUCAACUUCACCAACGAGAAACCAGGAUUACUCUUACCGUACUAGCACUGUUGCAGCUGCUUAAUCAUUAGUAUAUUAAGUCGUUCUACAAAUAUUGGUAUAUUUUUGAUAACCCAUAAGAAUGGAUAAAGAAAAAAAAAGUUAAAGAGGAAAUGAAAGAUAUGAAGGAUCUAGAAAAGAUGGCCAAGCCAAGAUGAGACAAUAGGAAGAAGAGUAGGAAGAUGAUGACUCUUCUUUUAAAUUGUUUCAACUGUGAAUAUUCUGAUGAUAUGCAAGGAGUUUGUGUGUUGCCUUGAUGUAAUCUCGGAGAUGGCUCUCUGUUUUUCUUCUUUUUUUUUGGGGGGGGGGGUCCUUAUUUUUCUUUUUCUAGAUUUCUUUUUAUUUUUUGUUUUGGUUUGUAGCACUACUGAAGCGUUGGUGCUCUACGCCUCUAAUUAUGAAAUAUAUAAAUAACAAGCGCCUGUUACAUAGAAAAAACGAAGAAAAAGUUUGAUGAAUGUCAAUGAUAGUAUCGCAUGAUAUAGCUUUCCUUGCAUCAGCUGUUUUCUCAAUUUCUUUACUCUAUUUGCUUUCAAGAUUGCUCUGUUUUGUGUAAUGCUUUAAUGGAUCUUUCAACAGUGGUGUAUUUAGUAAAUUUGACGGGGAAAUUUGUUAAAUUUAAUAUUUUUUUUCCUUGGAAUUAAGAUUUUGCAGCUUCUCUUUUUUGUGUGAGAGAGAGACUUUUCUGGCAAAGCAGGUAGAAAGUGGAGUGUGGAGUUUGUGAAAGAGGGUAUUGGUGAAAAGCAUCGCCUCGCGUUAUAGUAGUAAGUUGUCUGAUUAAUUGCGAAACUUGAAUGAGUUUGUGGGCUGUUAGAUCUUUUCAAACGACUUGACGAGCAUCAAAUUUCUUAAAGAGCACUGACAAACGAAUCAAAAUCAAAGACACAAUUUUUUUUGUUUUUUAGCAAAUUUUGAAUUUUUUUUUAAAGACAAAUCAUUAAAGAAAAUUAUAUAAAUUUCAAAACGGCAAAAAUUCUGUCGUAUUUGAUUAUUUUUCAUUUCUUAAAGAAUCUUGUACUUUGUUAUGGAGUCUUUCGUCAAUCUUCAUUUUAAUUUCAAAAAAUACCGUUUUAACCUUUAAGUUCGAAAAUGAAAUUUACCGUUUUAGCUGUGGCUGGCAAGCAAGUGGCAAUACGCCUUCUGUGAUCUGGGCUGUUUAAUUUUGGACGUGGGCCUCUUGUAAACAGUUGCUGUUGUGGACCCUUGGAGAUCAUGGAGAGAAAGUACGUGCCUCCCAUCUUCUUCUUUUGCCCAAUGCCCUGCCAUAGUUGAAACAUAAAGUAUAUGUUGUGUCUUUCUAAGUAAAGGAAGGAUGGGAUUAUUAAUUAAAAUCCUUAAAAAAGCAAUUAAAACAACGUGUCCUCCCCAGCACGAGAAACAAAUUAACAUUUCCCGCCUUCCAUAGGUAAAGGAAGGAUGUCCUUCACUAGGAUUAAUUAAGACAAUUUUGUAUUAUGUAUCCUUAAAUAGCAAAACACAAAGCUCAAUUUGCUAUACUUGUUACAUUAAUGCUAAGUGGUUUCGUUCCAAUUGAUAUCACUUAUUGGAUGCGGGAAGGUUGAAUAAAUAAUUUCACAAAUUAUGAAAGUUUGCGAUCCAGUAUAUAUUAAUGACACAUCACUUAGGAUAUUGGUAAGAAAAUGUACAAUUAUUAAUGCAAAAUGUUUAUAUAGUGCACAUUUGUCACCAUUUCAAUAUACACACUCAUAUUUAUACAAACUGAUAUGACAUGUUAUAUAAUUUUCACGUCUCAUCUGAUUUAUAUUCUUUUAUUUCUUUAAAAUUGUGAGGCAUGUACAUUAAUGGGAUACAAUUGAUUUUGAUUUCAGAUCCUACAGGCUCAUGAGAACGACUUAUUCUAUUUUGAUUUUCUAUUUUGAUUAUAAUCCAUUCCAAUUCCUAGUACGUAAAUGCAGAGUAUUAACUGUUUGAAAUUAUUUUGAUAAGGGGCAAAAACUAUUAUUAUAAGACAAGCAACUAACUUGUAAACUCCUGGAUUAAUUGCAAAGACCAUUUCUGUUACUUUUAGUUCAAGUCAGUGUUGUAGUUUUAUCAAAGUAGAGAAAUUAAAUUAUGAACAUAUGAAUAUAUACGCAUUGCUUUCUGUGACUCACUCGUACAAAUGACGUUAUGUUGAUCAUAAGCACAGUGUUACGGUAGGCUGUACAGUACGUUUCGAGAUUUGAGAAUGUUUGCUGGGCCAUUUAUUCUAACAAAAUUAUCAGAACAAAUUAUCCUUCACAUCAGCCGCAGCUUCAUUGCUAAUCUACUAAUGUUCUUCAGGGGAAAUCACACCGUAUAGGGCAUUAGCGGACUCCCAUGCCAAAUUAUAAUUCACAUACGUUGCAUAUAUUUUCUCGUAUGUUCCUUCCACAAUCGAGCUCUCUCUUCAUCCUCAUGUUGAUAAGAGCGUAGCAUUUCAUCACUAGCCAUUUCUUUUGCAGUCAUGCCAACAACGGUCUCCGGCUUGACCUGCCCAAAAAGGACUUUUCUUCGGAAAUCUGGGUUCUUAGGAUCCUUGAGGUUACCCAAGACAGCUCUAUACUUGAUCUUAUAAGGCCCAUCAGAUCGGCCCCAUUUCUCAAACAUUGCAGACUCCAAUGCUAUUGCAACUCGAACUGAGUCACAUGCAUUCACUUCAUCUCGAAUUUCUUCGUCAGCCUCACCAGAAACCUUGGAUAAAGCAUCACAAACUUUUUCCCUCACAACCUCCCGAAAACAAUCAUUGCAUCUAAUCUUAGAACUGCUCAACUUAUGGAGAAUGAUGCCAGAAGCUUCUCCCUCUUCUGUAAUCGAAUUUCCAACAUUGACAUUAUCCGCCGAAUUGGUUUCCUCUGUUUCAACAAUUUCUGAUCUUACUACAUUCGAGGAGCUGGAUGUAGAAUUCUGAUCGACUUUCUGAACCUUGACAAUUCCAACACCAGAGAUCUCCUGACACUCCUCAGAGGUCCUCUUAUCAACCUUCUCUAUUUUUGCAGGCUCAGUGUCGCCAGGGAUUGUACAGCUUCCUUUUUUCUCAUCUCUUAUUUGCUCAAGAAACAUAUCUCUCCACGACACAAUCAAGUCAGAUGCAAAAUCCUGGAUUUUCUUCGUUGGAUGUUCUGUCAGAGGUAGAAGAUACCUUACAAGCUGAAAUGAUAUAUAUACCAAUAGAUCAAUUCCAGGAAGUACCAAAGUAAUUAAAUGCAUUCAGUCUAUGCAAAUUGAUAAUUUUUGUGAAGCUGCACAAAAUAAAACACCAAGGUACAAAACAUGAUUUCCUUCCACAGGCAUUUAGCAUAUUGACCAUACUGCUCUUUCUUAAUGUGAAGCAGAAAAUGAGUCAUGAAAAGACGAAAAAUCAAACUGUUGGAUGAGAAGUAUUUGAUCUUUUUGCGACUCUCUGUACGAAUGAUACUGACCUAGAUUCCGCAAUAGCGCAGACAUCUCAUAGGUUUGGGGCAUUAGAAAAGGGAAUAAUCUGCUCAUGUUAGAUAGUUCAUUGACAAUGCUAUAGAGAGCGAGGAAUAACACCUGCGUUGAAACAAGAAGCGGACAGGUGAUAUCAGACUUGUUGAGCUGAUCCAAUGCAUCAAUGCACCAUGCGGUCCAUGCUUUCUCCGCCUCACCCUCAGCCAUUACUGCCGCUUCUGCCCCUCUUUUUGCCUCUUCACACAGCUGCAUCACCUUUUUCUCCAUUGCUUUUUCCUCCACCUCUUCUUUCUUAAGCAGUUGAAAAGACAACAAAAUUAUAACAAGCGAAAAUAUUAAUGAAUUAUUUCUUGCCAAGAAGUAAACAUGAACUUAACCCAUAAUUAUUUUGAUGAACGAUAUUCAUAAACUUGUUAUUUCACAUUUGCAUAUAUGAAUCGACAGCCACAAUGCAAAGACAUAGUUUUUUUCCUUAUUCAUUUACCUUAAAAUCUGUAGCCUUCACCACUGAAAUAAGGAAUAGAACCACGUUAUAAAGGUUAAAUACAUUUUGUAGUAUUCGAUUAUUUUACUGACUCUAUCAUGUAAUUUUCACCCAUUGCGGCAAUUCAAGUCCAGAAGUUUAUAUAAAGUGAAACACCCAUCCCGAAUAAAUAAAUAGAUAAAAUUAACCUAAAAAUUGAAAAUGAAAAAGAAAGGGGUAAUUGAAUGCACUCACAAUUUCCAUUGAGCGGCGCCGGCGAGUGACUGCUUCUGACAGCUUUGUCGAGCCGUGGUAGUCCAGAAGUUAAUAUACAGUGAAAUACCCAAGCAAAAAAGGGUUUCUUUGUGUUAACGUGCUAUUUUGAAUUAUUUAAUGAGAAGGUAGAUUGGUCUUUUUGUAUCAAAGGUCUUUUUGGUCCAAUUCACAAUAGUUCACUCCGUAUCCGUAUGUAUGGGCCAUGGGGGGGACAGUAUUGUGUCAUUUGCCAUGUGAGGUUUCUUUUAUCCAGAGGUCAUGUGAAGUUAAAACACGCAAUUACCAUGAACCACUAAGGGUUUGUUUAGUAAUAUUAUAUUUUAAAAAUAAUUAAUUAUUAUUAAUUGUACUGCAAACAUAAUAACUCUAAAGAGAAUUCAUUAAACCUAAACAGGAAUUCAGAUUUUCUCUCUCAAUUCCAGGAAAAAUAUUUAAGGUAAAAUCUGUUUGAAAUCAAAAUUUUUAAAUCAGAAUCCUCCUCACAUACUUUAUUACUUUCUUCUGGCCUAGACCUGUCACCAUCGGGAGUACUUUUUAGUUGGGAUUCAGGAUUAACCAAAGUCAUUGUCUUAUAACUUAUGUAAUGAAACUUUAGGUAUCCUCCUGAUCCCUGAACCCGAACUAAAAGGAAUUCUGAGACAUUCUCUCGGGGCCUUCAAAGCCACCUAUAGAGAUCAGAUCAGUCGCCUUAUCAGGUCCUUAUUUUUUUCAUGCUUUCUUAUAUCAUUAGCUGAGUUUGUAUGGUGAUAUAUAUUGAAGCAAGCGUGGUCUGUAUUAAAAGUACUGAUUUUUAUUUGAUUUCUUCCCUUUUCUUCUCAGAUGCGACUUAUGGGUUUGUAGUUUUUUGUCAAUUAAUUAAAUUAAUCAGAUAAUUACAUUUAGCUGUACAUCCUGGAACAUUAAUUGUAUCUAAAUCCUUGUUCAUCGAUCUGGGUAAUUUUCUAAAAGACAGUUUUAUUUUUCUUAAAUAAAUUUACAAUAUCACCACGUUCUGGUUUCCCGUAGGAGGCAGAUGGAGUCUCUCCCUCAGAGCAUAGGCUACAUUCCUAUAUUUAUUUAUAUUAUGCUGGUAUAGAUUUUAUGUCUUCACUGCUGUACCGUACAUCCGCCUUGGCCGUACAGCAGNNNNNNNNNNNNNNNNNNNNNNNNNNNNNNNNNNNNNNNNNNNNNNNNNNNNNNNNNNNNNNNNNNNNNNNNNNNNNNNNNNNNNNNNNNNNNNNNNNNNNNNNNNNNNNNNNNNNNNNNNNNNNNNNNNNNNNNNNNNNNNNNNNNNNNNNNNNNNNNNNNNNNNNNNNNNNNNNNNNNNNNNNNNNNNNNNNNNNNNNNNNNNNNNNNNNNNNNNNNNNNNNNNNNNNNNNNNNNNNNNNNNNNNNNNNNNNNNNNNNNNNNNNNNNNNNNNNNNNNNNNNNNNNNNNNNNNNNNNNNNNNNNNNNNNNNNNNNNNNNNNNNNNNNNNNNNNNNNNNNNNNNNNNNNNNNNNNNNNNNNNNNNNNNNNNNNNNNNNNNNNNNNNNNNNNNNNNNNNNNNNNNNNNNNNNNNNNNNNNNNNNNNNNNNNNNNNNNNNNNNNNNNNNNNNNNNNNNNNNNNNNNNNNNNNNNNNNNNNNNNNNNNNNNNNNNNNNNNNNNNNNNNNNNNNNNNNNNNNNNNNNNNNNNNNNNNNNNNNNNNNNNNNNNNNNNNNNNNNNNNNNNNNNNNNNNNNNNNNNNNNNNNNNNNNNNNNNNNNNNNNNNUACAUUCCUAUAUUUAUUUAUAUUAUGCUGGUAUAGAUUUUAUGUCUUCAUUUACUAAAUUAAUUUGCUUAUCUAACUUGCCUGUUUGGAUCAACUCUCUCAGGUAGCACCUGCAUUUACAAAAAAAGCGAAAGAAAAAGAAAGAUGAGAUCCGAGGGUGAUCACAUCAACGAACUCCCGGAUGAUAUUCUUGUAAAUAUUUUGUCUCGCUUGACCAUGAAAGAAGCUGUAAGGACCAGCAUAAUAUCAAGUAGAUGGAGAUAUUUGUGGAGAGGUUUCAGUGGCUGUUUGAACUUUGACGAUCCCUUCACCAUGGCAAACUCAAAGUGGCCUCAUUUGAAUUUGAAAAGUGGGCCAAUAAAUGUAGAAAGGCAUAAGUUUGUCAAUUGGGUCAAUCAAGUGUUGAGUUCACUUGAAGGUCAUUGUACCGAAGAAUUAAGGAUUUGCUUUGAUGUGUUCUCUAACCACGAUAUCGAUAACUGGAUCAAAUUUGCAUUGGAAAGGAGAGUUAGAAGACUUGAGUUGGAUUUCUCAAGAGUUGUGUAUAAUCUUCGGUUUGUUGGCCAAUACACAUUUCCAUCACAUCUUGAUUUUUAUUCCAGCUUUAGGCAUCUUACAGACCUAAGUUUGACAACGGUGGGCAUAACAGGAGAGGUUCUUGAACAUUUGUUAUGUUAUUGCUGUCCUGUUCUUGAAGUGCUAAAUGUUGCAGAGUCAAGCAGUCUUACGAGCCUUAAAGUGUCUGGUCCAUCACUUAAGUUGAAACACUUGAAAUUAAACAAGUUGGACAACUUGAAGGACCUUCAACUUCAUGCCCCGAAUCUCUUAUCUUUUGAAUAUUCAGGGCCAAUACUACCUUUUUCUUUCAGAAAUGUCCCGAAUCUUGUUGACGCAUCCUUUUGGGGCUGCUUUAGUGCAUACAUCGCGAAGAACCUAUGCCAGCAUUCUAUUUUUCUUGUGCAGCUACACACUCUUAAAUUGGACACGUGUCAUCUGUUGGUAAUUAGUUUUUUUGUUUGUUUUUGUUUUCAUUUUUAUUGAUUCCUUAUUGCCGCUGCUUUUGUUAAUUUUGUCUUCAAUAUUUUGUUGAUAUUGAUGCAUAAUAAAUUUGCUUCUUCCUUUAUUCAGAUUGGUGACAGUGAAUAUAGAGCAGGCCGCUACCUCCACGAUAUUCCUGAAAUGUGCAAUCUCAAGCAUUUGGAAAUUAUUGGAACGCCAAAGGUUAAUGACCUCAUUUUUUGUAUUGCUUUGUUGGAAGCAGCUCCUUCAUUGUAUAAAUUUUCUCUGAAGGUGAAUGUUAUUUAAUUUAUUAAUUUAUUAAUAGGUGGAAAUUAAUACCAUUUACUAAUUUAUGAUAUAUAUGGUUGUGUUUUUCAGUUAGUAUCACAAUAUGACUAUGAGAGCUAUGAAUCGGUCAAGACCAUCAAGGAUCAGCCGUAUUUAAGCUUCACAGAACUAAGAAGUAUUAGGGUGGUGGAGUUGCUGGGAUUUGUAGGACAUACAGCUGAUUUUGAGCUCGUAAUGUACUUAAUUUUCAGUGCGAAGCUGUUGGAGAAGAUUAUUAUCGACCCUUGUCCAACAUGGAGAGUGGGAACUCCAGCGGAAUUGAUCUGGAGGGAAACGGCGGAGUAUCAAUCCGCUAGAAGGCGUGCUUUUGAGUUGGCAGCUAAAUUUCCUUUAUGGGAAUUUGUGAUACCGUAAAUUAUUAUUUGUCUUCUUUUCUAAUUUGCUGUUUGGGUGGUUGGUGUGGUUGAAGAUAAGGAUUCUUUGCUCAUUUUAGAAUUUUUUUUGUCGAACACUAAAUUAAUGGUUAGAAUUUUUUUGAACACUAAAUUAAUAAUUAGAUUUACUUUACUUAGGAUGCGUUUACUUUUUGGAUUGAAUUGGAAAUCCUAGGAUUGGGAGUGUGGAGUGGGAGUGGGAGUAGGUUGUUUACUUACACUUGAAUGGAAGCAUAAAAUAGAGAUCAGAAUCCAAUUUAUGUGUUUACUUUAUCUUGGAUUGGGAGUAAAUAGUUUCAAAUUACAAUUUUAUCUUUAUUUAAAGAAUUAUAGUUUUUAAUUACAAAACUAAUAAAAAAUAUAUUUAAUGAAUAAUAUUUAUUUUAUUAUAUUUGUAAAUUUAUUAUAAUUAUUAAUAUUCUUAAUUAUGACCAAUAACUGCUGUACGGCCAAGGCGGAUGUACGGUACAGCAGUAGUUUGAGCCCAAAAACUAGCCGUUAUGUGUUUUCAGAUGACAACCGGCUUGCUGCUUUUGGAAUCUGGUUAGCCGCUUUUAUGUUACCGUUACAAUAAAAAUUUGAAUUUCAAAACAUCCGGCAUGCCGCUUACGAUAUCUGGAUAGCCGCUUAUGCUCCAGAAGCUUACUGCCCAAAAUUUGGAUUGCCGCUUACCAUAUCCAGUUAGCCGCUUGCUACAGUGAAAUAUUUUCUAAAAUUAUAGUUUGACCCCAAAACUUUAUAAAACUGUAUUAUGGCCCAAAACGUUAUGAAAGCUUUCAAAGAGGUCUAAUUUUAGAAUUUCUAAAUAAUACUUUGUCAAUCCCAAAAUUUUUGAAAUUAUGAUUUCACCCAAACUAUAUGAAAUUAUAGAAUGACCUAAUUUAUUAUUAUAUAAAAUAAUAAUAUAAUAUUAUUUAGUACAAAAUUAAUAUUUUCUUAGAAUAAACUAUUUAUUAUUAUUAAUAUUAAAUAAAUAUAGUACUAUUAUUUUUAAAAUAAAUAUAAUAAUAUUAUAUUUAUUAAUUCUCUAUUAAUAUAAUAAUAUUAUUUUAAAAUAAUUUUAACUUAGAAUCAAUGCAAAUUAUUAUUUAGUUAAAUAUAAUAUUAUUAUUCAAAUAAAUAUAAUAAUAUUAUUCAAAUAAAUAUAAUAAUAUUAUUCAAAUAAAUAUAAUAUUAUUUUAUUAAUUAUAAUAUAUUAAAUUAAAUUAAAAAUAAAAGGGUAAAAAAGGGAGAGGUGGGAGUGGAUUCCCACUCCCACCUCCCCCAAUGGGAGUCCCACUCCCACUCCCCACUCUAAAAAUGAGUGGCGCCCACGGAGUGGGAUUCCCAAUCCCUUCCCAUUUUGAGGAAGUAAACGCUGGAGUAGGAGGAAUCCACACUCCUCACUCCCACUCCAGCAAGUAAACACAACUUUAAUAGUCGCUUCUCUUUUUUUAUUAUCUAAUUAUUUUUUGGCAGAUUAUUAGAAAUUAAUUAUAGAUUUAUAUUUUAUUUUAAUUAUUACAAUCAACAAAUAUAUUACGAUAUUGUAUUAACUUUGAUACUGGAUGCAUAAAUUUAGGUACGGCAUAUAAAACAUGUCACACGUCAUCAUUAAAAUUAGAAACCAAUGGUCAGAUCUUCAUUAAACUCCACCGUUUGUGGUAUUUUAGAAACCAAUGGUCAGAUCCUACUGAUCUAGUAGCUUGAAAAUUGUUGUUUAAUUUGUGGGAUUGAACUUUUUAUUCGAUUUGGGGUCGUUUUUAUUUGUUAAAAUUAAAUAACAAUUAUGUAUAUAUUAUUUUAAUUUAGUCCAAAACAUACUAAAAUAAGAAAUUCCUUAUUAAAUCUAGAUUCUUAUGUUGAAAAGGCACUCGAAAUAAGCAUUAUUAUCGCCUUUUUAUUUUUAUGGGACCCUUUGAUUGUUAGUUUUGCAAGCUUUUCUCAGUAAAUUAUAAUUUUUAACCAUCAAACAUAACUUCACCUAAUCUUAGUUAUUUAGACAUUCCAAGUGUAAUAAGACAACCAUACUCAUACCACAAUUCAUAAAUUCAAAAUAAGACCACCACACUCAUACCACAAUCCAUAAAUUCAAAAGGAAAGCCAAACGUUCAGAAGGAAACAAAUAUCUCCGGGAACCUUUCAACAGAAAAAGUUUCAACCUAUGGCAAUCUUCAAUAGGAUAUACACACCCAAAGUAGAUUAUAUAGGAAUCUAAAGAAACAAGAAACUCAUAGAAUGGUAAAGCAAUCUCGAAGAAUUGCCCUUGAGAAACUUAGAUUAGACCUAAAGGAACAGGAAAAAAGAAAAAAAACGUCACAUUUUUCUAUAGAAAAAGAAAUAAAAUUCAAGCACAGGUGGAACGACAUACCUUUAACGUACUCUCUAUCUGGUGACACAAUUUUACGGCCAAUCUGUUUAUCAUAGCCUGAGUAAACAGUGCUGAAUCCUAGUCCACGUGCUUCUCCAGUGUUAAUAUGGUCUUCUAUGUUAUGUACCUGCCAAGAAUCAGCAUAUUUGAUUGCCAAAUUAAUUUCUAUCCUCUUCGGACCCCUUUGGAUGCGGAACCAACGCCACAUCUCUGUAAAUUGCUUGAAGUCAGACUCCCACAGGAAUUCAGCUCUACCCCAUGAGUCAAGCUUCUCUAGAAUUGCCUUCAACUCAUCCUUCACUGCCUCAAGUUGCGCUAACUUGCUUGAUUCUUUUAUUUGCUCUUCCAGCAUGGACUCACGCUGCUCCUUCACAUAUUGCUUCAAGACAACAAUUUUCACCCGGGCAGCGACAUCGUCCAAAAUUUGUUGCCGCACAGGGUCAUAUUGAUUUGCAUCUUCUUCCGGCAAAUCCUCCAAAAGUGCCACAUACGCAGCAUCUUCAUUUACUGCCACCUGCUACAUUAUAACAAGUGAUUCAUUAUUACUUAAAAAUAGACAACUACACAAGUAGUGAGAACACAGGUGCUGGAAGCACAACCAAGUGCAAAAGGGAGGAAAGAUCAUUAAGCAUAUCUCUAUCAAUUUCAUAUGAACAAUACCAUUGAACAGUCCUCUUCAAUACAAUCAAUAGAGGGUUGAACAUCUUCAAACCACAAAAAUUAUGGGUCUACUGUGAAUUGCAUUGAUAAGGUGAAGAGCAGAGACCAAAAAAAAUUAAACUGCAGACUGAAAGAUCCAGCGAUGUUAGCCUUUCACAGCUCAUGGAUGAUGGAACCCAUGAGAAUAUGUGAGUGAAAUCUUGCUAAAAUCCAAAUUCUUAAUUCUCUGGCAAAAGAACAAGAAGUGAAAAUGUGGAAUCUCUUUCUUCGCAAGGAGGCAAAUCACAAAAGCACAAGCAGGAUGAUUUGAACAGCCCUAGACCAAUUUGAAUAUAAAAUUACUAAAUUCUUAAUAUUAAAUGGUAAAAUGCAAACAUCAAACAUAUAAGCCUAGGUAACAAACAAAAAAUUCAUAGAGGGAAGAACUGAUUCAACUAACAUUCGAACGCAGGGAUUUUUUCACAUCUUGCAAGCGAUUUUUGACUUCCAUCUUGUGUUUUUUGUCGUCUCCGGACAUUGUUUCAGCCCACUUAGUCUUGUCUUGAAUUAUGGAAAGAGUGCUGUCUGAAAUGUCUAACCUAUAAUUUCCAAUUAAGAACUCUGUUACCCUCAACAAGGUCUCAUAGCAUGCAAUCAGUGAAAAUAGAAGAUGCAGACAAUUGUAUCACAGAAUAGGGAGAAAAUGUAGAUGUAGUACUCAUGAUAACAUGAUUGUCAAAACCAGGGUCACAUCUGACACAGCUUACUUUGUGGAUUUUUUUUUUAAAAAAAAGAAGAAAAAUCAGUGGGUAUCCAAAUCAACACCAUUAGCCAAAAGGUAUCAGUGACGAGGCAAACACAAUGGCAAAUCGCUGAAACCAUUUACCAAGCAAUUGGUAUAUAUCAUGGGAAACAAUAAAUGGUUAAAUUACUUGGAUAAUAUAUAAUGGGCAUGUUGGUAAGCAACAAGCUCUUACACAUGUCAAACAAAUUUGUAAGGUCCCUUUUAGCUACAUAUCAAAUCAGAUUUACAACUUAAAAUCAAAUAGAUGACAUGAAAAAAAAAAGAAGAGACCGAGGAAUACCAAUUAGUUAAUCUCAGCAUAAUGUUCUCAAGUUGGCCAGGUCUCACAUCCCUUCCUGCUGCAAGUUUUACCUGCAAAUAGCAUAACCUUCCCAUUAGGCAUUGGGCUGUUAAAUGUAUCUGAAAAAAGAAUUAAGCAAGGUGAAGUGUCUAACCUCAAAGCAUCUUCUCAACGGAUUCAACUUCCCUUUGACUAUCCCCUAUACAAUAAACAACAUACAGUUGUCAUAGUUUUCUACUUAUAAAUAGAAUUAAACAGCAUUUCAUUAUGCUGAAGAAAGAAAUACCUAUUUUCUUGGUGAAUCAGAGGGAAAAAAAUAAAAUGGUUUCAGCCAGACUUGUCCAAACUAGUUUUCACAAAUAUCGUUUCGAUUUUGAAAUGGUUAUGUUACUAGAUCAACUUAUAUUUUAUUAUUUUGUUAAAUUUUCAUGUUAAUGGGAAACUUGAUAUUUUAAUAUUCAAAUCUCUCAAGUAAGAUUCUCAAAUGGUCUGUAAAUCUGUUCAGAAACCAGACCAUAGAAACUAUGGUGGGCAGUAACUUGUUAACAUGAUAACAAGGGGUUCAAGUAAAGCCCAGGAAUGAAGAAGACUUACCACAAAUAUGCAUUCAUUGAUCAGAAAGUCUUCGAGUUCACGCACAUUAGCAAUCUCAAGUUCUGCCAUAAGUUGAUCGUAGGAUAGAUCCUAGGAGAGAGUUAAACCAAGUAAUAAAGCCAUAGCUUCAGAACUAAUUUACACAGAAGAAAUGACACAAAUAUAGCAUAUCGUAAGGUAGUAAAGAGAGAAAUUAAGAUAUGAAACAUUAAGUCAAAAAGGAAUGGACCACUGUCAUGGCCAAUGUUCCUUCCUAAAAUGUGUUACUCUUACUUACAUGGAGAAUCAAGUUCUAUCACAUGUCAACAGGCAGGUAAAUCAACAAUUCUAAUUAUUGUGAAGAGUUAGUUACAUUAAGAAACCAGAGGAAAAGAUCUCAACAAACAUUAAACUGGAUACCUUGUUUGUCUCAGCAAGAGUCAGCACACUAAGCUGUUUAAGCUUGACCGCUUGAUCUGGUACCAACUCUGGUAGAUGAGCUGCAUCACCUGUGCACAAAUGCAAAAGAUUGAGCUCCACUAAACAUAUUUGUCCAUAUGGCGCCUGUUCUUUUUUGCUUGCUUUAAAUUAUUUUACAUUUAGAGAAUGAAAAUCUUAAUAAAUAUAUUUAUUUAUUAUUGAAAAAAAUAAAAAUAAACGAAUAAAUAAAUAAAUAAACUCUUACUUUUGUAUUUGGUCCAUGUACCAUAAGCAAAAACACGAAGCAAGUCAAUGUACAUAGAACUUUCCGUUCCCUGAAGCUGCAUUCAUGUGAAAUCGUCAAUAAUGUAGUAUGAUUUUACACAUUUGAAUAACAUGAAGUAAGCAAAAAAAAUUGAUUUCGAGAAUGAAAGAUUCUUAAACUACGAAAUUUUUGAAAAAACUAAAAGUGCCUGAUGGAGAUUCGGGACGGAUAAGAUAUCAGAGAAGGCGAAGAGAGAAUGGUGAGAGGUGGCUUCGACUAUGAGUUUGACUAAAUCGGGGCCAUUAAGAGUAGAAGCUUGUUGUAUAAACUGCUCUAUUAUAGGUGCUUGUUUCUGCUCUAUCUCCAUUGAUUUGAUUUUGCUGCUUCCUUUCGGCGAAUACGAAGAUGAUAAAAGAUGAGGACGAAGAAAGUGUGUUUUACGAGUGAGUUCUUAAAAUUUUUGAAACUUUUUUGCCAGUGCGGUGUCCCCGGUUGUUUCGUAUACGGUUACGGGUUAUUUAUAUACACUUCAGACGCUGAGAGGCUAACGUGCACAGAGUGCAAGGAGUGCGUCACCAAUUUUAUCAUAGAAUGGGCUCGGUUUUGCCCAAUCGAAGCUAAAUGCUUACGAAUAAUUUUUUAAGCACCCGGACAUAGUUUUUUGCACCCAGUGGUAUUUUACAAUCUUAAACCUUUUUGUAAAGUAUCUGAUUAAACCCACGUAAUACACAAAUUAUUUUCUUGACUUAAUGAUUUUUCUGUUAUUUAUAUUUUCUUGUAUUAUCAAAGGCUUCAGCUAAAACUUACAAAAGUCCGAACCCGAAGUCUUAAACAAAUACGAAAAUCCAAUUCGACAAUUUUAGAAUACUAUUUUGCAAGGAAUUAUGUCUUUCACCUUGGGAGAUUUUAUUCAGUUAUCUUAAAUUUUGAAUAGAAAUAAAAAUUUCAUUAACAAGAAACAAAGUAUCAAAGUUUACAUCCGAAUUGAAAUGGAAUUGCAAUCAUCAAUGCUCCUAGUAUACUUUGCUAAUGCAUUAGCUAAAGUAUUACAUCUUCUAGAAAUAUGCCUAUAUAAAAAAAAUCUGUCACAAAGGUUAGAAUUUGAUUGAUCUAAGAGAUAGACCAACGCAAUUCCAUGGGAGUUGAGAAAUAGAAAUAAAUAAAAAUAAUAAUGAAUUUGGUUUGUUUUAGCAAAGAUGCAAGACUAAGAAAAAUAUGUCAUUAAAAAUCUUACAAGUUACAAGAGAGGGGGAAAAAAAAACGUACGUGUUAGGGUUUGAAGUUUUAAGUUUAAAUAAUAAAAAAAGGAAUAGAAAUGUAUAUGAUUUUGACAUUUUUUAACGGAAAUAUUAAGAAAUGGGCUUUGGAAGGUUUUCACAGGGUGCCAAUGGUCCGUCUUUAAUUUAAAACUUGAUUAACGAUAGGCCCAAUUAUUUUUAAGUCCAUUAAAAAUUUUUGUUCAGGAAGCUUUUGUGCAGCCAUUUGAUCUGCCGGUUACGGCCGACGUGGUCUCCAAAAGAGUUUAUCAUAGGAAUACAAAGACCUAGAUUUUGUUAAACUGAAUGUACAGAAAUUAACCAUUUAACUUUCCAUUAAAUGAGCGAACUAAAAUACUUCAUUAUAUAUAUGUCAAUUAAAAAGUUUCCUUCUAGUAUGCUAUCUUUCUCUCUGAAAGAGAACAAAAAGUAGUUUGGAGCUUUUAUGGCUUCAUAUCUCACUCAUUUAUUUUGAGUGGUUUUUUUUUUGUUGUCUUUCGUUAGUGGUUUAAACUGGGGGAGAGAAUUUAUGAGAGUGGGCAAGAGUCUUAAGACACGAGGGUUCCAAACACAGGGUAAGUGGUAGGUAUAGAGUUAAGCUGUGCCCACCCCUCAUGGACAUAGAGGAAUUAAUACGUAAAUGCAAAGCAAUCUUCAUCCACGAAGGCAACGAAUGCAAGUUAACCUUAAGAAGUGGCAUGGAAGAAAAGGGAGGACGCAUAAUGGCUAAUUCUCUUAUUGAGAAAAUAUUACUGACAAGGAGCAUACACACGGAAGGGAUCAGGAUUGCAUUAGUACAUGCAUGGAAAACAACAAAAGAGGUGAAAGUUGAAAACAUGGGCAACGAUAUCUUUAUUUUUAAGUUUGGGUUGGAAGUUGAUAAGCGAAAAGUAAUGGCUGGAGGGCCAUGACAUUUUGGCAGAGCAUUAAUUAUGCUUAAAGAGCCCAGCGGAAGUGGAAAUAUGAGGAAACAAGAAUUCACACAUGUAACCUUUUGGAUACAAAUUCACAAUGUUAUGUUAGUAUGUACGGAGCGAGAUAAUAUUCAGAAGCCAGGGGAAUUACUAGGAGAGGUGCUAGAGGUAGAAACUGAUGAUGAAAGGGAAUGUAUUGGCCCAUAUGCAAGAGUUAGAGUAUCCAUUGAUAUUACGAAACCAUUAUAAAAAAUGGUUUAUUUGGAGUUGGAUGUUGAUGAUGAUGGAGUGGAGUUGCCAAUACUGCAUGUGUUAGCCUAAAUGGCUAUACAUACUAUAAUUUUAAUGAUAAGAAACAUGUGUCUUAUUAAUAUGAUAAAUAUUGUAUUUAACAUUUUUACUAGUUCUUGAAGGACAUUAUUUAUGCAAGUGAAUCAAGUGAAAUCAAGGUCAAGACACUCAACGGACAACGGUGCGAUCAAGAACAAAGUUUAGCUCAACGGAGUCAUUGUUGCGAACAAAUUCUUGUAAAGUUGAUAUGAUUUAAUAUAUGUAUAAUUUAGCAUUUGAGAAACUCAUGCUUUUAUUUAAUAAACCCAAAGGUUUCAUAUUUAUGAAAUAAAGUAUUUUAUGAAUUUGAGUAUUUUUCAAAUUUUAGAUUAAAUUGAAAAAGUUUUGAAAUCAAUAAGCAUUAUCAAAAGAACCCUUUUAAGAAGUAUUAUAAAGUUUUGGGUCAUAGCAUAAUUUCAAAAGGUUUUGGGAAUAACAAGCAUCAUUUGGACCAUUUUGGGUUAUAGUGAAAUUUCUGAAAGUUUUAGAUCAUACAUUAAUUUUUAAAAGUUUUGAGCCAAAAAGUAAAUAUUAAAAAUAUGGGGGGGGAGACAUAGAGUUAGAGGCUAGCUGACAAUGGUUAGCGGCUAGCUGCCUAGGGCAAAUCUUCAAAUUUUCAAAGAUAAAAUUUACAAUAGCUACUUGCUAUUUUGUCUAUAACGGCUAGUUUUUGUGCCUAAACUCUAUAAACUCAAAUCAAAUUCAUUUUUAAAGACUUUCGCAAGCAUAAACAAGUGCAAACAAUAUAUUUUGAGCUUCCAAUUCGUAAAUUAUCAUAGAUUAAAUCUUUAUUGAACUAUUAUUUGUAUAUUCACUCUAAAAGAGAGUAUUUGUUGUAAUUCGUGAAUUCAUUGAAAAAUUUUUAAGUGUAUAAGUGUAAGAAACACUUGACUGAUGAGAUUGGUGGAUAAUCUCUUGUUGUAAAGGUCCAUUGAUAUCUUAGAAGUCAAUUGUAAACAUUUGAAGUCUUUGAAGGCAUGGAUAGUGAAAUUCUCAAGCUUUGUUUGCUUAGAGGCGUGGACGUAGGCGGAGAUUAUCGAACCACGUAAAAAUAUUUGUGUUUGGUCUCUAUUCCCUUACUCUUUUAUUUUUGAGUAUUGCUAAAUUCAUUAUUUUUUAUUUCAUUAAAGCAUUAGAUUAAAUUAUUGUGUGGUUUGAUUAGCUUAAAUUUUAGAAACCCAAUCUACCAUGCAUUUGGGUUAGAUGACUAGUAUUUUAAUAUGAAUGGCUCCUAGAUUUUUGUUUUUGCUAUGGAAUUAUUGGGUAUUAAUUUAAAGAGUGCUCGACAUACAAUGGACAACCAAAGGAAAAAAUGCUUUAUGAAGUUUACAUGAAGGCAUUGUCCAAAGUUGAGAAAACCAAGUUGAAUCGAGGAAUAGAUAUGUAGAACAAAAGGUUUGAGCAGUCACUCAAUGGAUUCAAAGAAGCAGAGCAACAUGGAAGAAGUCAGCAAUAACAAUCUGGUUUGAACCCCAAUGUAAAUGAACCCGAGUCAAACCAACCCAAUUCGGGGGAAAUUGAUGGCCAGACAAUUAAGACCGAUGAACUAUUAACACAAAUGACUCUUGUGUCAUGACCUAACCCAGACCUGACAAGAUAUUGUCUGCUUUAGGCCUUAACAAGACCUGCACGAUUUUAUUUCUGGGGCACCUAUACAUCAUAAAACGAGUCUUGCCAAUUAAGGCGUGGAUUACCCCUUAUAAACCCAACAUUUCUCCUCUGCUUUGCCGAUGUGGGAUCUGCCUAAGGUGUUACAUACACCCCCUUAAGGACUCAGCGUCCUCACUGAGGUUUGCCCCAUCAUCGCUCAAGAGAACAUGAGCAGCCGCUCUGAUACCAUAUCUCAUUACCCAACCCAAACCUGACAAGAUAUUAUCUGCUUUGGGCCUUAACAAAGCCUGCACGUUUUUGUUUCUGGGGUGCCCAUACACCCCAAAACGCGCCUUUCAAUUAACGUGUGAAUCACCAUUUAUAAAUCCAACAUCUCUUCUGUGCUUUGUCGAUGUGGGAUACGCAAAAGGUGUUACAUACACCCCUUAGGGACUCAAUAUUCACGUUGAGGUUUUCCUCACCAUCGCUCAAGAGGACACACGAAGCCGCUCUGAUACCAUUUGUCAUGACCCACCCAGACCUGGAAAGAUAUUGUUCGCUUCAGGCCUUAACAAGGCCCACAUGGUUUUGUUUUUUGGGGUGCUCAUACACCCCAACACGAGUCUUGUCAAUUAAUGUGUGGAUCACCCUUUAUAAAUCCAGUAUCUCUCUUGUGCUUUGCUGAUGUGAGAUUCGCCUAAAGUGUUACAUACCCCCUUAAGGACUCAGCGUCCUCGCUGAGGUUUGUCCCAUCAUCGCUAAAGAGGACAUGCAGAGCCACUCUGACACUAUUUGUCAUGAUCGAACCCAGACCUGACAAGAUAUUGUUCGCUUUGGGCCUUAACAAGACCGCACAGUUCUGUUUCUAGGGCGUCCAUACACCAUAAAAAGCGUCUUGCCAAUUAAGGUGUGAAUCACCCCUUAUAAACCCAUCAUCUCUCCCGUACUUUGCCGAUGUGAGAUUCGCCUAGGGUGUUACAUAUUGAACCGAGAAAGCAUCAAGAUAAUAGUCAGAAACAACAUGGCUUAGCAGCUACUGAAACUGUAGUUGACAGCAUAAAUGCUUAUGUAAAGUGGGGAAAAAAACGAGAAAAGAUAAUUGGGAGGACACAAGUAAAAAAAUUGGAGCUUAAGUUAGCGCUCAGCCCAAUUCCAAACACCAGCUCAAGUCAAGAGAAAGAAAUUUUAAAUUCAGAUGAGGUGGUGUAUGGUGGGCCCAGUACAAACAUCAUUAGGCCUAAGAGAAGAAAAUGGAAAUUACUGGCUAGAAAUGCAAGUAUCAAAGGGCAUAGCAAAUAAGGGUUAUUUGUUGGAAAAAAUGCAGUUUGUGAACCAUUAAAGCCAAGCCCAAAUCACAAAAGAACACGGAUCCAAAGCCCUCACAAAACCAAUACAACUAAAACAAGCUCCUGUAAUUUAUUUUCACCAAGAUAUAAACUGAACUGGGAUGGCUCGGGAAUAGAAGAAGAAANNNNNNNNNNNNNNNNNNNNNNNNNNNNNNNNNNNNNNNNNNNNNNNNNNNNNNNNNNNNNNNNNNNNNNNNNNNNNNNNNNNNNNNNNNNNNNNNNNNNNNNNNNNNNNNNNNNNNNNNNNNNNNNNNNNNNNNNNNNNNNNNNNNNNNNNNNNNNNNNNNNNNNNNNNNNNNNNNNNNNNNNNNNNNNNNNNNNNNNNNNNNNNNNNNNNNNNNNNNNNNNNNNNNNNNNNNNNNNNNNNNNNNNNNNNNNNNNNNNNNNNNNNNNNNNNNNNNNNNNNNNNNNNNNNNNNNNNNNNNNNNNNNNNNNNNNNNNNNNNNNNNNNNNNNNNNNNNNNNNNNNNNNNNNNNNNNNNNNNNNNNNNNNNNNNNNNNNNNNNNNNNNNNNNNNNNNNNNNNNNNNNNNNNNNNNNNNNNNNNNNNNNNNNNNNNNNNNNNNNNNNNNNNNNNNNNNNNNNNNNNNNNNNNNNNNNNNNNNNNNNNNNNNNNNNNNNNNNNNNNNNNNNNNNNNNNNNNNNNNNNNNNNNNNNNNNNNNNNNNNNNNNNNNNNNNNNNNNNNNNNNNNNNNNNNNNNNNNNNNNNNNNNNNNNNNNNNNNNNNNNNNNNNNNNNNNNNNNNNNNNNNNNNNNNNNNNNNNNNNNNNNNNNNNNNNNNNNNNNNNNNNNNNNNNNNNNNNNNNNNNNNNNNNNNNNNNNNNNNNNNNNNNNNNNNNNNNNNNNNNNNNNNNNNNNNNNNNNNNNNNNNNNNNNNNNNNNNNNNNNNNNNNNNNNNNNNNNNNNNNNNNNNNNNNNNNNNNNNNNNNNNNNNNNNNNNNNNNNNNNNNNNNNNNNNNNNNNNNNNNNNNNNNNNNNNNNNNNNNNNNNNNNNNNNNNNNNNNNNNNNNNNNNNNNNNNNNNNNNNNNNNNNNNNNNNNNNNNNNNNNNNNNNNNNNNNNNNNNNNNNNNNNNNNNNNNNNNNNNNNNNNNNNNNNNNNNNNNNNNNNNNNNNNNNNNNNNNNNNNNNNNNNNNNNNNNNNNNNNNNNNNNNNNNNNNNNNNNNNNNNNNNNNNNNNNNNNNNNNNNNNNNNNNNNNNNNNNNNNNNNNNNNNNNNNNNNNNNNNNNNNNNNNNNNNNNNNNNNNNNNNNNNNNNNNNNNNNNNNNNNNNNNNNNNNNNNNNNNNNNNNNNNNNNNNNNNNNNNNNNNNNNNNNNNNNNNNNNNNNNNNNNNNNNNNNNNNNNNNNNNNNNNNNNNNNNNNNNNNNNNNNNNNNNNNNNNNNNNNNNNNNNNNNNNNNNNNNNNNNNNNNNNNNNNNNNNNNNNNNNNUGAUUGAAGUGUAGUGUUCAACUUCAUAAGGAGAUGACAAUUUUUUUUUUCAAAUCAUAAUUCAUAAAGCAAUCCGGGUUUCAAACCCGGAAUUCGAAAACCCGUAUUUUUUCGGGUUGAACCCGUUCCGGACCCGUAUGCAGGAAAACCGAGUUUAUAUCCGGGUUCGGUACAAGAAAAUAGCAUCCGGGUCCGGAAUCAGAAAUGACGAACCUGGACCGGGACUCGGAUUUUUCCAUCCCUAGAUGAGAUGCACUGAGGUUUAUGGACAAAGGCUCAAGAAAAAAAGUCCGGGUCCCCACUAUUUUUUUAAAAAUAAAUUUAUAAAUUAGAAAAAUAUAAUAAAAAGUGACUCAAAAAUAAUUUAAAAAAACCUUAAAUUCUUAAUUUAUAAAUCAAGGAUGAUUAAAAAAAGUUAAAAUUAUGAUAUUAAACUCUCUUUUUUGAGUUAGUUAAUUAAUAGACUGUUCGAAUUAGAUAACCACUAUGAAAGAAAAUUAAAUUUAUGAGCUUUUAUUUGCUUUAAUUAUUAUUUUACUUUGAAAUAUUUAUUUUCUUUAAUUUCUUUAUGAUUAUAAUAACUUGUUGACCAUUAAUUUAUUUCAAAUUUAUAAUAAUUUAAAAAAUUUUAAAAAAUAAAUAAAGCCCAAGUCUGGCCCAGGCCCUCAGGCUUAACUUAAUGUGGGCUUGGGCCUAGGCUUGAAAAAGCCCAACCCCAGGUCCGCCUUUUGCCAUAUCUAGAAAUAACGCCCUUAAACAGUCACCGCGAAACCAAACAUGGAGACCAGCAGGAGGAUCUUGUAGAAUGCGUAAACCUAAAGGCAAAGUGAGGGUAAAGUUCGCAAGAUAAUCUACUACAGAAUUUGUUGGGGGUAAGAAAAUUUGUUGGGGGUAAGAAAACCUUUGGUGAAAAUCAUCGCAUAUAACCUAGGAACAUUCAUGUUAUAUUAUCAAAUAUCAAUAACAAAAUUAUGAGGAAGUGUAUCUGAAUUGAUAAUGCUUAAUUCUUCUCUAGAGUAGUGUGGUUGACUUUUUAGAUCUACACGUUCUCCUAGAGAAUCCUUUAAGUUUUCUCAUGACUCUCUCUCCCACUAUAAGAUUUCAGAAAGAAUAGAAAAAUAUGUGUGACCUGGGGACCAUAACUACUUAUUUUGACAACUUUUUCAUGUUGUCAUUGAGUAUUUAUAAUUUUGCCUAUUAUUGGAUUAAAAUACAAUUGAGUCUCUACACAUUAAAGGUCCACACCCUAUUAGAUACAUUAAAGCCCAUAAUACUGAAAACCUUAACAUAUCACUUUUAAUUGGAUUUAACCUUAUAUGACAGCCCGCAACAUAUAAUUAUUCACAUAUUAGUUAAUUGGAUUUAACCUUAUAUGACAGUUCGCAACAUAUAAUUAUUCACAUAUUAGCCCACCGUUGGAUUAUGAAUCCAACAGAAUUUGCUUCACGAAAGACAUGGCACACCGAGACAUUCCAACUACGAGAGAGUAGCUCCAAAAUGCCAUAAACCAGAGGAGAAGCUGCAUUGUAACGGCCAUCAGUUGGCUGAAGGAGUUUAACAGCACACAUGCUGUCAACCUCGACCUGGAGUCCCCUUAUCCCCUUAUUCCAGGGGAGAACUAGCCCCUGACAAAGACCCCAGAGUUCAGCCAUAGUAAUCGAGCACACACCAAUAUUCAUGCCAAAACCGAUAACCCAGUUCCCAUUAUAAUCUCCUGACCGCUACCAGAAGCUUAAUUGUGUAUAUAAUUAAAUGUAUACCAUCAUAGUCUUUUAUGAGGCCACCCAAAACGAUAUACGCUUGAUAAGGGAAUGAACAUUUAGUAAGGGGUGUUGGAGAGUAAGUAGUUGAGCCAUUGCUGGGCAGCUCCUUCGCCUCUUGUUUUGGUUCUGAUAUAUCUGAAAGCCGACAGAGGUCAACAACAACAACAACAACAACAACAAUAAUAAUAAUAAUAAGUGAAACGCAUCAAAGGAAAUAAAAUAUAUAUGAAAAAAUCUUGUUAAACUUAGAAAUUGAUAAAUACUACAAAAUAAAAAAAAAGAAAAAAAAUCCCCUGAUACCAAGUGCUUAAGGCUUUUACAUCAGCUAGAAACCUGAAGAAGCCAUCACACAUUUGUCUGCCUCGCAACAACACUUAAUAGAUACCCGUGAUUUGAGGAAUUCUGUUUAUUAUAUAUAUAUAGAGAAUGAAAGAAUAUAGGUAUAUAAAGGCUGCUGUACGGCCAAGGCGGAUGUACGGUACAGCAGUGUUUUACGAGUGAGUUCUUAAAAUUUUUGAAACUUUUUUGCCAGUGCGGUGUCCCCGGUUGUUUCGUAUACGGUUACGGGUUAUUUAUAUACACUUCAGACGCUGAGAGGCUAACGUGCACAGAGUGCAAGGAGUGCGUCACCAAUUUUAUCAUAGAAUGGGCUCGGUUUUGCCCAAUCGAAGCUAAAUGCUUACGAAUAAUUUUUUAAGCACCCGGACAUAGUUUUUUGCACCCAGUGGUAUUUUACAAUCUUAAACCUUUUUGUAAAGUAUCUGAUUAAACCCACGUAAUACACAAAUUAUUUUCUUGACUUAAUGAUUUUUCUGUUAUUUAUAUUUUCUUGUAUUAUCAAAGGCUUCAGCUAAAACUUACAAAAGUCCGAACCCGAAGUCUUAAACAAAUACGAAAAUCCAAUUCGACAAUUUUAGAAUACUAUUUUGCAAGGAAUUAUGUCUUUCACCUUGGGAGAUUUUAUUCAGUUAUCUUAAAUUUUGAAUAGAAAUAAAAAUUUCAUUAACAAGAAACAAAGUAUCAAAGUUUACAUCCGAAUUGAAAUGGAAUUGCAAUCAUCAAUGCUCCUAGUAUACUUUGCUAAUGCAUUAGCUAAAGUAUUACAUCUUCUAGAAAUAUGCCUAUAUAAAAAAAAUCUGUCACAAAGGUUAGAAUUUGAUUGAUCUAAGAGAUAGACCAACGCAAUUCCAUGGGAGUUGAGAAAUAGAAAUAAAUAAAAAUAAUAAUGAAUUUGGUUUGUUUUAGCAAAGAUGCAAGACUAAGAAAAAUAUGUCAUUAAAAAUCUUACAAGUUACAAGAGAGGGGGAAAAAAAAACGUACGUGUUAGGGUUUGAAGUUUUAAGUUUAAAUAAUAAAAAAAGGAAUAGAAAUGUAUAUGAUUUUGACAUUUUUUAACGGAAAUAUUAAGAAAUGGGCUUUGGAAGGUUUUCACAGGGUGCCAAUGGUCCGUCUUUAAUUUAAAACUUGAUUAACGAUAGGCCCAAUUAUUUUUAAGUCCAUUAAAAAUUUUUGUUCAGGAAGCUUUUGUGCAGCCAUUUGAUCUGCCGGUUACGGCCGACGUGGUCUCCAAAAGAGUUUAUCAUAGGAAUACAAAGACCUAGAUUUUGUUAAACUGAAUGUACAGAAAUUAACCAUUUAACUUUCCAUUAAAUGAGCGAACUAAAAUACUUCAUUAUAUAUAUGUCAAUUAAAAAGUUUCCUUCUAGUAUGCUAUCUUUCUCUCUGAAAGAGAACAAAAAGUAGUUUGGAGCUUUUAUGGCUUCAUAUCUCACUCAUUUAUUUUGAGUGGUUUUUUUUUUGUUGUCUUUCGUUAGUGGUUUAAACUGGGGGAGAGAAUUUAUGAGAGUGGGCAAGAGUCUUAAGACACGAGGGUUCCAAACACAGGGUAAGUGGUAGGUAUAGAGUUAAGAUGUGCCCACCCCUCAUGGACAUAGAGGAAUUAAUACGUAAAUGCAAAGCAAUCUUCAUCCACGAAGGCAACAAAUGCAAGUUAACCUUAAGAAGUGGCAUGGAAGAAAAGGGAGGACGCAUAAUGGCUAAUUCUCUGAUUGAGAAAAUAUUACUAACAAGGAGCAUACACACGGAAGGGAUCAGGACUGCAUUAGUACAUGCAUGGAAAACAACAAAAGAGGUGAAAGUUGAAAACAUGGGCAACGAUAUCUUUAUUUUUAAGUUUGGGUUGGAAGUUGAUAAGCGAAAAGUAAUGGCUGGAGGGCCAUGACAUUUUGGCAGAGCAUUAAUUAUGCUUAAAGAGCCCAGCGGAAGUGGAAAUAUGAGGAAACAAGAAUUCACACAUGUAACCUUUUGGAUACAAAUUCACAAUGUUAUGUUAGUAUGUACGGAGCGAGAUAAUAUUCAGAAGCCAGGGGAAUUACUAGGAGAGGUGCUAGAGGUAGAAACUGAUGAUGAAAGGGAAUGUAUUGGCCCAUAUGCAAGAGUUAGAGUAUCCAUUGAUAUUACGAAACCAUUAUAAAAAAUGGUUUAUUUGGAGUUGGAUGUUGAUGAUGAUGGAGUGGAGUUGCCAAUACUGCAUGUGUUAGCCUAAAUGGCUAUACAUACUAUAAUUUUAAUGAUAAGAAACAUGUGUCUUAUUAAUAUGAUAAAUAUUGUAUUUAACAUUUUUACUAGUUCUUGAAGGACAUUAUUUAUGCAAGUGAAUCAAGUGAAAUCAAGGUCAAGACACUCAACGGACAACGGUGCGAUCAAGAACAAAGUUUAGCUCAACGGAGUCAUUGUUGCGAACAAAUUCUUGUAAAGUUGAUAUGAUUUAAUAUAUGUAUAAUUUAGCAUUUGAGAAACUCAUGCUUUUAUUUAAUAAACCCAAAGGUUUCAUAUUUAUGAAAUAAAGUAUUUUAUGAAUUUGAGUAUUUUUCAAAUUUUAGAUUAAAUUGAAAAAGUUUUGAAAUCAAUAAGCAUUAUCAAAAGAACCCUUUUAAGAAGUAUUAUAAAGUUUUGGGUCAUAGCAUAAUUUCAAAAGGUUUUGGGAAUAACAAGCAUCAUUUGGACCAUUUUGGGUUAUAGUGAAAUUUCUGAAAGUUUUAGAUCAUACAUUAAUUUUUAAAAGUUUUGAGCCAAAAAGUAAAUAUUAAAAAUAUGGGGGGGGAGACAUAGAGUUAGAGGCUAGCUGACAAUGGUUAGCGGCUAGCUGCCUAGGGCAAAUCUUCAAAUUUUCAAAGAUAAAAUUUACAAUAGCUACUUGCUAUUUUGUCUAUAACGGCUAGUUUUUGUGCCUAAACUCUAUAAACUCAAAUCAAAUUCAUUUUUAAAGACUUUCGCAAGCAUAAACAAGUGCAAACAAUAUAUUUUGAGCUUCCAAUUCGUAAAUUAUCAUAGAUUAAAUCUUUAUUGAACUAUUAUUUGUAUAUUCACUCUAAAAGAGAGUAUUUGUUGUAAUUCGUGAAUUCAUUGAAAAAUUUUUAAGUGUAUAAGUGUAAGAAACACUUGACUGAUGAGAUUGGUGGAUAAUCUCUUGUUGUAAAGGUCCAUUGAUAUCUUAGAAGUCAAUUGUAAACAUUUGAAGUCUUUGAAGGCAUGGAUAGUGAAAUUCUCAAGCUUUGUUUGCUUAGAGGCGUGGACGUAGGCGGAGAUUAUCGAACCACGUAAAAAUAUUUGUGUUUGGUCUCUAUUCCCUUACUCUUUUAUUUUUGAGUAUUGCUAAAUUCAUUAUUUUUUAUUUCAUUAAAGCAUUAGAUUAAAUUAUUGUGUGGUUUGAUUAGCUUAAAUUUUAGAAACCCAAUCCACCAUGCUUUUGGGUUAGAUGACUAGUAUUUUAAUAUGAAUGGCUCCUAGAUUUUUGUUUUUGCUAUGGAAUUAUUGGGUAUUAAUUUAAAGAGUGCUCGACAUACAAUGGACAACCAAAGGAAAAAAUGCUUUAUGAAGUUUACAUGAAGGCAUUGUCCAAAGUUGAGAAAACCAAGUUGAAUCGAGGAAUAGAUAUGUAGAACAAAAGGUUUGAGCAGUCACUCAAUGGAUUCAAAGAAGCAGAGCAACAUGGAAGAAGUCAGCAAUAACAAUCUGGUUUGAACCCCAAUGUAAAUGAACCCGAGUCAAACCAACCCAAUUCGGGGGAAAUUGAUGGCCAGACAAUUAAGACCGAUGAACUAUUAACACAAAUGACUCUUGUGUCAUGACCUAACCCAGACCUGACAAGAUAUUGUCUGCUUUAGGCCUUAACAAGACCUGCACGAUUUUAUUUCUGGGGCACCUAUACAUCAUAAAACGAGUCUUGCCAAUUAAGGCGUGGAUUACCCCUUAUAAACCCAACAUUUCUCCUCUGCUUUGCCGAUGUGGGAUCUGCCUAAGGUGUUACAUACACCCCCUUAAGGACUCAGCGUCCUCACUGAGGUUUGCCCCAUCAUCGCUCAAGAGAACAUGAGCAGCCGCUCUGAUACCAUAUCUCAUUACCCAACCCAAACCUGACAAGAUAUUAUCUGCUUUGGGCCUUAACAAAGCCUGCACGUUUUUGUUUCUGGGGUGCCCAUACACCCCAAAACGCGCCUUUCAAUUAACGUGUGAAUCACCAUUUAUAAAUCCAACAUCUCUUCUGUGCUUUGUCGAUGUGGGAUACGCAAAAGGUGUUACAUACACCCCUUAGGGACUCAAUAUUCACGUUGAGGUUUUCCUCACCAUCGCUCAAGAGGACACACGAAGCCGCUCUGAUACCAUUUGUCAUGACCCACCCAGACCUGGAAAGAUAUUGUUCGCUUCAGGCCUUAACAAGGCCCACAUGGUUUUGUUUUUUGGGGUGCUCAUACACCCCAACACGAGUCUUGUCAAUUAAUGUGUGGAUCACCCUUUAUAAAUCCAGUAUCUCUCUUGUGCUUUGCUGAUGUGAGAUUCGCCUAAAGUGUUACAUACCCCCUUAAGGACUCAGUGUCCUCGCUGAGGUUUGUCCCAUCAUCGCUAAAGAGGACAUGCAGAGCCACUCUGACACUAUUUGUCAUGAUCGAACCCAGACCUGACAAGAUAUUGUUCGCUUUGGGCCUUAACAAGACCNNNNNNNNNNNNNNNNNNNNNNNNNNNNNNNNNNNNNNNNNNNNNNNNNNNNNNNNNNNNNNNNNNNNNNNNNNNNNNNNNNNNNNNNNNNNNNNNNNNNNNNNNNNNNNNNNNNNNNNNNNNNNNNNNNNNNNNNNNNNNNNNNNNNNNNNNNNNNNNNNNNNNNNNNNNNNNNNNNNNNNNNNNNNNNNNNNNNNNNNNNNNNNNNNNNNNNNNNNNNNNNNNNNNUACAUUCCUAUAUUUAUUUAUAUUAUGCUGGUAUAGAUUUUAUGUCUUCAUUUACUAAAUUAAUUUGCUUAUCUAACUUGCCUGUUUGGAUCAACUCUCUCAGGUAGCACCUGCAUUUACAAAAAAAGCGAAAGAAAAAGAAAGAUGAGAUCCGAGGGUGAUCACAUCAACGAACUCCCGGAUGAUAUUCUUGUAAAUAUUUUGUCUCGCUUGACCAUGAAAGAAGCUGUAAGGACCAGCAUAAUAUCAAGUAGAUGGAGAUAUUUGUGGAGAGGUUUCAGUGGCUGUUUGAACUUUGACGAUCCCUUCACCAUGGCAAACUCAAAGUGGCCUCAUUUGAAUUUGAAAAGUGGGCCAAUAAAUGUAGAAAGGCAUAAGUUUGUCAAUUGGGUCAAUCAAGUGUUGAGUUCACUUGAAGGUCAUUGUACCGAAGAAUUAAGGAUUUGCUUUGAUGUGUUCUCUAACCACGAUAUCGAUAACUGGAUCAAAUUUGCAUUGGAAAGGAGAGUUAGAAGACUUGAGUUGGAUUUCUCAAGAGUUGUGUAUAAUCUUCGGUUUGUUGGCCAAUACACAUUUCCAUCACAUCUUGAUUUUUAUUCCAGCUUUAGGCAUCUUACAGACCUAAGUUUGACAACGGUGGGCAUAACAGGAGAGGUUCUUGAACAUUUGUUAUGUUAUUGCUGUCCUGUUCUUGAAGUGCUAAAUGUUGCAGAGUCAAGCAGUCUUACGAGCCUUAAAGUGUCUGGUCCAUCACUUAAGUUGAAACACUUGAAAUUAAACAAGUUGGACAACUUGAAGGACCUUCAACUUCAUGCCCCGAAUCUCUUAUCUUUUGAAUAUUCAGGGCCAAUACUACCUUUUUCUUUCAGAAAUGUCCCGAAUCUUGUUGACGCAUCCUUUUGGGGCUGCUUUAGUGCAUACAUCGCGAAGAACCUAUGCCAGCAUUCUAUUUUUCUUGUGCAGCUACACACUCUUAAAUUGGACACGUGUCAUCUGUUGGUAAUUAGUUUUUUUGUUUGUUUUUGUUUUCAUUUUUAUUGAUUCCUUAUUGCCGCUGCUUUUGUUAAUUUUGUCUUCAAUAUUUUGUUGAUAUUGAUGCAUAAUAAAUUUGCUUCUUCCUUUAUUCAGAUUGGUGACAGUGAAUAUAGAGCAGGCCGCUACCUCCACGAUAUUCCUGAAAUGUGCAAUCUCAAGCAUUUGGAAAUUAUUGGAACGCCAAAGGUUAAUGACCUCAUUUUUUGUAUUGCUUUGUUGGAAGCAGCUCCUUCAUUGUAUAAAUUUUCUCUGAAGGUGAAUGUUAUUUAAUUUAUUAAUUUAUUAAUAGGUGGAAAUUAAUACCAUUUACUAAUUUAUGAUAUAUAUGGUUGUGUUUUUCAGUUAGUAUCACAAUAUGACUAUGAGAGCUAUGAAUCGGUCAAGACCAUCAAGGAUCAGCCGUAUUUAAGCUUCACAGAACUAAGAAGUAUUAGGGUGGUGGAGUUGCUGGGAUUUGUAGGACAUACAGCUGAUUUUGAGCUCGUAAUGUACUUAAUUUUCAGUGCGAAGCUGUUGGAGAAGAUUAUUAUCGACCCUUGUCCAACAUGGAGAGUGGGAACUCCAGCGGAAUUGAUCUGGAGGGAAACGGCGGAGUAUCAAUCCGCUAGAAGGCGUGCUUUUGAGUUGGCAGCUAAAUUUCCUUUAUGGGAAUUUGUGAUUCCGUAAAUUAUUAUUUGUCUUCUUAUCUAAUUUGCUUUUUGGGUGGUUGGUGUUGUUGAAGAUAAGGAUUCUUUGCUCAUUUGAGAUUUUGUCGAGCACUAAAUUGAUGGUUAGAAUUUUGUUGAACACUAAAUUAAUAAUUAGAUUUACUUUACUUAACAGUUGCUUCUCUUUUUUUAUUAUCUAAUUAUUUUUUGGCAUAUUAUUGGAAAUUAAUUAUAGAUUUAUAUUUUAUUUUAAUUAUUACAAUCAACAAAUAUAUUACGAUAUUGUAUUAACUUUGAUACUGGAUGCAUAAAUUUAGGUACGGCAUAUAAAACAUGUCACACGUCAUCAUUAAAAUUAGAAACCAAUGGUCAGAUCUUCAUUAAACUCCACCGUUUGUGGUAUUUUAGAAACCAAUGGUCAGAUCCUACUGAUCUAGUAGCUUGAAAAUUGUUGUUUAAUUUGUGGGAUUGAACUUUUUAUUCGAUUUGGGGUCGUUUUUAUUUGUUAAAAUUAAAUAACAAUUAUGUAUAUAUUAUUUUAAUUUAGUCCAAAACAUACUAAAAUAAGAAAUUCCUUAUUAAAUCUAGAUUCUUAUGUUGAAAAGGCACUCGAAAUAAGCAUUAUUAUCGCCUUUUUAUUUUUAUGGGACCCUUUGAUUGUUAGUUUUGCAAGCUUUUCUAAGUAAAUUAUAAUUUUUAACCAUCAAACAUAACUUCACCUAAUCUUAGUUAUUUAGACAUUCCAAGUGUAAUAAGACAACCAUACUCAUACCACAAUUCAUAAAUUCAAAAUAAGACCACCACACUCAUACCACAAUUCAUAAAUUCAAAAGGAAAGCCAAACGUUCAGAAGGAAACAAAUAUCUCCGGGAACCUUUCAACAGAAAAAGUUUCAACCUAUGGCAAUCUUCAAUAGGAUAUACACACCCAAAGUAGAUUAUUUAGGAAUCUAAAGAAACAAGAAACUCAUAGAAUGGUAAAGCAAUCUCGAAGAAUUACCCUUGAGAAACUUAGAUUAAACCUGAAGGAACAGGACAAAAAGAAAAAAACGUCACAUUUUUCUAUAGAAAAUGAAAUAAAAUUCAAGCACAGAUGGAACGACAUACCUUUAACGUACUCUUUAUCUGGUGACACAAUUUUACGGCCAAUCUGUUUAUCAUAGCCUGAGUAAACAGUGCUGAAUCCUAGUCCAUGUGCUUCUCCAGUGUUAAUAUGGUCUUCUAUGUUUUCUACCUGCCAAGAAUCAGCAUAUUUGAUUGCCAAAUUAAUUUCUAUCCUCUUCGGACCCCUUUGGAUGCGGAACCAACGCCACAUCUCUGUAAAUUGCUUGAAGUCAGACUCCCACAGGAAUUCAGCUCUACCCCAUGAGUCAAGCUUCUCUAGAAUUGCCUUCAACUCAUCCUUCACUGCCUCAAGUUGCGCUAACUUGCUUGAUUCUUUUAUUUGCUCUUCCAGCAUGGACUCACGCUGCUCCUUCACAUAUUGCUUCAAGACAACAAUUUUCACCCGGGCACCGAUAUCGUCCAAAAUUUUUUGCUGCACAGGGUCAUAUUGAUUUGCAUCUUCUUCCGGCAAAUCCUCCAAAAGUGCCACAUACGCAGCAUCUUCAUUUACUGCCACCUGCUACAUUAUAACAAGUGAUUCAUUAUUACUUAAAAAUAGACAACUACACAAGUAGUGAGAACACAGGUGCUGGAAGCACAACCAAGUGCAAAAGGGAGGAAAGAUCAUUAAGCAUAUCUCUAUCAAUUUCAUAUGAACAAUACCAUAAACGAACCUUAGAGUUAAAAGAAAAGUGGACAGAACAGUCCUCUUCAAUACAAUCAAUAGAGAGUUGAACAUCUUCAAACCACAAAAAUUAUGGGUCUACUGUGAAUUGCAUUGAUAAGGUGAAGAGCAGAGACCAAAAAAAAUUAAACUGCAGACUGAAAGAUCCAGCGAUGUUAGCCUUUCACAGCUCAUGGAUGAUGGAACCCAUGAGAAUAUGUGAGUGAAAUCUUGCUAAAAUCCAAAUUCUUAAUUCUCUGGCAAAAGAACAAGAAGUGAAAAUGUGGAAUCUCUUUCUUCGCAAGGAGGCAAAUCACAAAAGCACAAGCAGGAUGAUUUGAACAGCCCUAGACCAAUUUCAAUAUAAAAUUACUAAAUUCUUAAUAUUAAAUGGUAAAAUGCAAACAUCAAACAUAUGAGCCUAUGUAACAAACAAAAAAUUCAUAGAGGGAAGAACUGAUUCAACUAACAUUCGAACGCAGGGAUUUUUUUCACAUCUUGCAAGCGAUUUUUGACUUCCAUCUUGUGUUUUUUGUCGUCUCCGGACAUUGUUUCAGCCCACUUAGUCUUGUCUUGAAUUAUGGAAAGAGUGCUGUCUGAAAUGUCUAAUCUAUAAUUUCCAAUUAAGAACUCUGUUACCCUCAACAAGACUUCAUAGCAUGCAAUCAGUGAAAAUAGAAUAUGCAGACAAUUGUAUCACGGAAUAGGGAGAAAAUGUAGAUGUAGUACUCAUGAUAACAUGAUUGUCAAAACCAGGGUCACAUCUGACACAGCUUACUUUGUGGAUUUUUUUUUAAAAAAAAAGAAGAAAAAUUUGCUGCAAGUUGUACCUGCAAAUAGCAUAACCUUCCCAUUAGGCAUUGGGCUGUUAAAUGUGUCUGAAAAAAGAAUUAAGUAAGGUGAAGUGUCUAACCUCAAAGCAUCUUCUCAACGGAUUCAACUUCCCUUUGACUAUCCCCUAUACAAUAAACAACCUACAGUUGUCAUAGUUUUCUACUUAUAAAUAGAAUUAAACAGCAUUUCAUUAUGCUGAAGAAAGAAAUACCUAUUUUCUUGGUGAAUCAGAGGGAAAAAAAUAAAAUGGUUUCAGCCAGACUUGUCCAAACUAGUUUUCACAAAUAUCGUUUCGAUUUUGAAAUGGUUAUGUUACUAGAUCAACUUAUAUUUUAUUAUUUUGUUAAAUUUUCAUGUUAAUGGGAAACUUGAUAUUUUAAUAUUCAAAUCUCUCAAGUAAGAUUCUCAAAUGGUCUGUAAAUCUGUUCAGAAACCAGACCAUAGAAACUAUGGUGGGCAGUAACUUGUUAACAUGAUAACAAGGGGUUCAAGUAAAGCCCAGGAAUGAAGAAGACUUACCACAAAUAUGCAUUCAUUGAUCAGAAAGUCUUCGAGUUCACGCACAUUAGCAAUCUCAAGUUCUGCCAUAAGUUGAUCGUAGGAUAGAUCCUAGGAGAGAGUUAAACCAAGUAAUAAAGCCAUAGCUUCAGAACUAAUUUACACAGAAGAAAUGACACAAAUAUAGCAUAUCGUAAGGUAGUAAAGAGAGAAAUUAAGAUAUGAUCAAUCUCUAAGUUUAAAUUCCAAACUUAUUAAUGCCCAGAGGCACCUCAGUGAAAAUCUACACGCUCUUCUUACUUACAUCCCUAUAAAAACUAUACAAUAACAUAGAUGUAUAAAUAUUCUGAUUGCCGACAUCAGUAUGCACUCCACAAUCAUCAGGGGCAUGUCGAUUUGCCAGGAUUAACAUAUUAAUAUAAAAAGCUAUAAGAGAGCAAUUGUUAAAUUUUAAAUUUACUCACCGCAUACGAGCGUCCAGUCGGACAAUCAUUGCAUAAGUGUCUAGCAUAUGAGCCAAUAAAUCCCAACAUCGCUUCUUUAAAUUCUUUAUGUUCUUUGCACUCUACCUCAAAAGCCAACUUCAAUUCAGAAAUUUUACGAUCAAUCUUGUCCAUCCGUUGUCUGAUGUAAGAAUUAUGAUGUUUUGUUCUCGACUAUUACAAAANNNNNNNNNNNNNNNNNNNNNNNNNNNNNNNNNNNNNNNNNNNNNNNNNNNNNNNNNNNNNNNNNNNNNNNNNNNNNNNNNNNNNNNNNNNNNNNNNNNNNNNNNNNNNNNNNNNNNNNNNNNNNNNNNNNNNNNNNNNNNNNNNNNNNNNNNNNNNNNNNNNNNNNNNNNNNNNNNNNNNNNNNNNNNNNNNNNNNNNNNNNNNNNNNNNNNNNNNNNNNNNNNNNNNNNNNNNNNNNNNNNNNNNNNNNNNNNNNNNNNNNNNNNNNNNNNNNNNNNNNNNNNNNNNNNNNNNNNNNNNNNNNNNNNNNNNNNNNNNNNNNNNNNNNNNNNNNNNNNNNNNNNNNNNNNNNNNNNNNNNNNNNNNNNNNNNNNNNNNNNNNNNNNNNNNNNNNNNNNNNNNNNNNNNNNNNNNNNNNNNNNNNNNNNNNNNNNNNNNNNNNNNNNNNNNNNNNNNNNNNNNNNNNNNNNNNNNNNNNNNNNNNNNNNNNNNNNNNNNNNNNNNNNNNNNNNNNNNNNNNNNNNNNNNNNNNNNNNNNNNNNNNNNNNNNNNNNNNNNNNNNNNNNNNNNNNNNNNNNNNNNNNNNNNNNNNNNNNNNNNNNNNNNNNNNNNNNNNNNNNNNNNNNNNNNNNNNNNNNNNNNNNNNNNNNNNNNNNNNNNNNNNNNNNNNNNNNNNNNNNNNNNNNNNNNNNNNNNNNNNNNNNNNNNNNNNNNNNNNNNNNNNNNNNNNNNNNNNNNNNNNNNNNNNNNNNNNNNNNNNNNNNNNNNNNNNNNNNNNNNNNNNNNNNNNNNNNNNNNNNNNNNNNNNNNNNNNNNNNNNNNNNNNNNNNNNNNNNNNNNNNNNNNNNNNNNNNNNGUACAGCAGGAGAGAGAAAUGUUCUAGUUCGGAAUUUUAAAGUACGGGAAAACUUUAAAACCGCAUGGUUUUAAAGGAUUAAAACUGUAAGCCUUUAAAGCCGUGUAGUUUUAAAGCUUUUCAGGACUUUCACGUACAUUAAAAUCCCUGACAAGAAAACUAUUAUAUAUAGUGUUAGAAUGAUUUAUAUACGAGGAAAGGAAAUGAUUUACAACCUCUGAAUCUUGUGUCAUCAGACUCGUAUGUCUUCUCUUGACGAUCAUCUAAAGGCAGCUCAUCCUCAACGAGAUUUUGCUACUCUAGUGUUAGAAGCGGUGUGUCAUGAUGUUCCUUUGUUUGCCUUGUAACUGGCGGCGCAUUAAUUGAAGGUUGAUGCUGCACAAAGUAACAUUGAAAUGAGUAAAUAAUAAGCCAAAAAUUUUGAGUUUUAUUUAAUUGAUAAAUAUAGAAUACCUACAUUACUAACCCAACUUGGGAUAUGUGGCACAUAAUUAUUCACGGUAUGCUAAUAUUUUUUAGUUUUCUCCUUUGUGUCUAACUCAAUGGUUUGUAAAACAUUCCCCUGCCAUAAAUUCUGCCCAAAAUUUUAGGUUAGUCUAAUCAUAUAAUAUUUAGUAAUAUAACAAGUAGUAUUAUACAUCUACCAAUAAAAUAUUACUUACAAGAUGAAUUGUCAUUCAACAAUGAAUAAAUUUCAGCAAAGUUUAUUUUAGAAGAAACAAUGGGGAAUCUUCUUUUUCGUUUUUACGACCCAUGUUGAUGGUAGGCCUCCGAUCGAUUAAAAAAUCCAAACCUGCUUAUUAGUAUUAAAAAUUGUUUAAUUAUCAAGCGAUAAUAAUGUUAUUUUGUGCUUAUGCUAUAAUUUAUAUUUUUGUUUACGCAAUAUAUUAGGAAUUAUUAAUUAUGUAUUAAAUAUAUUUAAUUUUGUGUAUUUUUAUGUGUUUAUUAGGUAAAAUUUUAAUUUCACGUAAUUCAAGGCACUAAACAGAUAAACAGAUGUCAAAUUCAGAUUCCAAAGAUCUGAAAACCUUAAGAUGAGUCAAGAUCGGCUUAAAAUUAGGCUUGUGUAAAAAGAGUUGAUUUUUUCUGUUGAUUGAGCACUGAUUGGAUGAUAAAAUGAGCUUACAAUAGAUAUGAGUGCAGGGGAUAGCCGGUAAUUUUGACUAAAUCUCAAUCGUUCAUGAUUCAAUGACCAUGAUUGUGCCACGUGGCAAUGAUUGGUGAAGUAAGUUGUAAGAUCCGAAUCUUUGUAUUUGGGUCGACCCAAUUCACCCAUUAACCCGCCAAAUCUCAACCGUUCUUUGGCCAAAUCAGACAAGUCAAAUUAUGCCACGUGUGAUGUUGACUUUUGAAGUUUGACCAGCCAUUAGAUCUUGAUCUAAUGGUUGUGAGGAGCGCAUGCAUGAAGCUUAUGAUGGACCGCAAAACACUGGAUUAUAAAUUUAUUUUUCUAUAAAUAAAACCUCAUUUUUAUGUUUUUAAUCAUCUCUCUACAUCUCUCUUCUUCUCAAUUUCUCUCCAUCUCUUUGUAAUCUUGAUUUUCAGGUGUGCUUUUAAUAUUUUGUAUAAUUAUUUUUAUAAAUAAAUUUAGUUUAUUUUCAAUUUUAGUUGUUUUUAUUACUUUUAAUUACAAGAUAUUUAAUUUUAAUAAUUAUUUUUAUUUCAAUUAUCCUUAACUAAAUAAUAAUAUUUAGGGUAAGGUGAAACUCUUAGGAAAUAAAUAUGAUUUAAUCAAAUUCUAUUUUUAUUUUAUAAAUUAAAUUAUUUUUCUGUUUAAUUUUAUACAUAUUUUAUAUUUUUAAAUUUUGAUUUAUUGUAGACAAAUAAAUUAGUUUGGCACAAUAAAUUCUUAAUAUCUUAACAUAAGGUAUGGUAAAAUGGUAUUUUGACUUACUGUAGACAAAUUAAAUUUUGGCACAAUAAAUACUUAAUCCAUUAUAAAAUUAAAGGGAAAAUAAUAAUAAUUUAUAUAAUUAAUCUUUUGGGCAAUAAAUUUAAAAAAAAAAAGGCAAAAAGAAUUUAUUAAGUUUUAUUUACAACUAAGAGUGGAACCACAACCCUAACUAGUUCAAUUUCAUAGUUUCAUUUAAAUUAAGUUGUUUAUAUUCAAGUUUUAUUUUUAUUUUUAGAUAAAAUAAAAUAAAAGAAUUAAAUCUUUUCUUUGAGGAUCGACCUCAGACUCACCAAGCUAUAAUAAAACAAGACAUUCUUUUACUUGGGAGUUAAAAAUUAUUUUUAAGUUGUGUUACCUACAACAACUAAAGUGAGAAAGUCAUAACCCCUAUUGUUAAAUAUUCAAUAAUACAAAACUAAUUAAUCCAAAAGCAAUUAUCAACGCGCUUGAACCCCGGAAGUAAAGCCAUAAACACCUUACUUUUGAAUUUUAUGGUUUGGAUUUCUAAGCGAAUCAUUUUAAAUUUCUCGUCUUUGCCGUUUAAUGCAUUGUCUAGACUGUCAUAUAUCAUUUCCCACGACAAAUGACCCUAUGGACAAUUUCAAAAGUGAUCUACACCAUCUACUUGUUUAAGCAAUGAAAAAUUGAUUUGACAAUGUUCUUUUCUUCCAUUUAGUACUAUGUCUACAAAAUAAUAGAGCGCAAUCUUUAGUGCAUUAAUGUCGUCCAUAGCCUCGAAGUCGAAGUCCUCAAAUCUUAAGUUGAAUUGCUUAAGAUUUAUGUUGUGAAACAAACUGUCAAAAUAUAUAUUAAGUAGCCUAUGCACCGUUUUUAGCUUUUUUAGCACGACAUCUUUACCGUAGGAAAGUUCCGUAACUAGGCACCACUCUCCACUAAUAAGCGUAUCAAAUGCUCACCAAUUUGAAAUCAUAACUGAUCUUUCUCAUUGCAUUCUCCAUGGGCCACUUGCCUAAGCAAACAUUAUGCGAAAUUUCGCAAUUGAAUGGAAAGUUUCGGCACUCUAAGAAAUGCCAAAUAUGUCUAGCCUGAACAGUUGCAAUUGUCAUUUUGUUACAUUUUUCUAGAUGGCUUUUACGGUUAUAGUUAAUUUACACAUACUCGAGAUACGCCCGGGGAAGUGAUCGACAUAAACUAACUUCAUGAUGCUGAGUUUAUUUCUCAAUCCUGUUAGAUUAUGCUUUGCUAUCUUGGAUUUCACUAUGUAUCUAUUACAUUUAUAACAUUAUUAGUAUUGCAUUUAUAACAAAUUAAUAACCUUAUACUAAAAAAAAAAACUAUAACUUGGUGCGAUAGGCAGUCUGUCGCACUUGAUCAGAUGCGACGGGUGCCAUGGCCUACAAGCCAUCACACGAAUUUUGUCAAGAGCGCACCAAAUUCAUGCGAUGGGCAUCCCGUCAACCACACCAAUAACUUCACCUACACCACCAACAUCACAAACACUUUAAUCCUUCAUCACUAUCAUCAACACAACACAAUAACAACAACAUAAAACAAGAACACACAACAGAACAUGCAAUAAAACCUAGGGUUUUUGAACUAACCAUUGAUUUUAGAUCUCGGCCGUGAUUUUGGUGAUGUUAGCCACCGACGAUGGACUCCAGCGUACUGUGGGAAGUCGCAGGUGAUGGGUGACUAAUUUGGGUGAGAGAGAUCGUUCGGUUAGAGAGAGGAAGCUUGGUGAGAAUGAGAGGGGUAUUUUCAUCACUUGAUGUGUUGUUUGGCUAAUGUUGAUAGAAAUAAACUUUUGGGGUCAAUUGUGAAAAAUGCAAAACUUUUAUGGUCAAUUUUGCAAAUUUCCCCUUUUUUUUCUCCUUUAGCAUAUUCUCAUUUAUUCUUGCGUACAAUUAGGGUUUUUAUUUUUAAAUUCAGUUAUCGAGUUUGUGUCUUUUUUGGCCAAUUAGGAUGUGUAUUUAUUGAUUCAGUUCUUGAUUGCUCUUUGAAAAAUGCUAAGUGUAGAGAAAGAUGAGAGAAAUAAAGAAGAAAAGGAAAAAGAGAGAAUGGGCGGCUAGAGAGAGAGGGGGCAAAUUUCUCUCAUUUUUCUUUACACCAGACAUCACUCUCGUGCCUUUUUGGUCUUGAGGAGUUUGAUUUGGUUGUACUAUCAUAUCUAAACCCAACUAUACAUGAAUUUGUAAGGAAAAAAUCAAUUUGUUGUCCUUUUUAAUAAAAUUAUUUCAAAGUGAUCUCAAUCAUCGAACAAUAGAUUAAUUAAAAAAUCAUAAAAAUAAAAUUUUACCAUCCAAUAAAUAAAUAAACGACAAUUAAGAUGAAAUCUCUUAAAAAUAUCAUUAGGGGUGUGUGUGUGUGUCUCUCUGUGUGUGUAGGACUAAGAGUUGCAUUUUUCUGAUAUAAUAUUAUGCACAAAAUAUUUAACCACCAAAUCAAUGGAAUAAAAUAAACUAAAUGCUUAUUUUUAUUUUUAUUAAUAACAAAAUAAAAAUAAAUGACCCCACAACAUAUUAUUAUUUAUUUUUUCUUCUCUUUUCCUAUAUUCUCUCUCUAAUUAAUAUGAUUUGACUCUCUCUACAAUUAAAAAACUAUUCAUUUAUUAGGGGAAACCUUAGGUGCAACUGUGGCACGGUGCCACAGUUGCACCGUAGCCUGAUCCCAUUUAUUAACUUUUAGUAAAAUACAAGUACCAUGAGUAGGGAUGGGCAAAUCGGAUUUCGGUUCGAGUUGUUUCGGUUUUGGUUUGGGUUUCAACUCAUUCAGUUUGGGAAACUCAACCCAAUCGGGUUGAAACUAUAAACCCGAACCAAAAAAGAAUAAUUAACUAAAUAUCAAGCAAAUUUCUCAUAAUCUUAUUCACAAAUUAACUAAUUAACAUAAAUAAUUCUAUAUUUAGCAAUUAACAAAAAUUAAGAAAUCAACAAACAAUUAAAAAAAUAAAUUACUAAAAGAUUAAUUAAUGAGAUAUAAGAAAAAGAAGAAGAAACAUUUGGUGGUGGAGGAAGGGAAGAAGAAGAAAAAGAAGUUCGACAGCGGCAGAAGGAAAGAAGACAAAGGAAAAGAGAAGAAGAAAAUAAAAGAAGAAGAAGAUAUUUGGUAGUGGCGAAAGAAAAGGAGGAAAAGGAGAAGAAAGAGAAAAAUGAAGAAGUGGAGAAGUGUGGAGGUCAAGAAGUGUAGGGUUAUCGGGUUAGGAAUAUGUUUUUACUUUUUAAGUUAUUUGUUUUUUCUUUUUCUUUUUAAUUUUCUUGGUUGACCUGAUCGGGUUUGAAUUUUCAACCCAAAUGGGUUGUAGACUUCAACACAAACUGAACCGAACCUGAAAUUCGGUUCGAUUUGAGUCAACCCAACACCCACCCCUAACCAUGAGCAUGCAAGAGCAUAGAAGAAGAACUAAUAUUAUAAACACGCAUGAAAUUGAGUUUGUUAUUGAAAAAUAAUUUGUUAAGGAACUAAAUAGAAAAUAAGAAAGAAAAGGUUGAAUACAAAAUUGAUUUGAUCCCUUGUUAAACCUGCCUAAUAGAACUUUUGAAACGAAAAUCUUUAAUUAAAUAUCUUUUGUUAAUUUUUUUAUUUUUUAAAUCAAAUAAAAUCAAUGAAAGCUUAACCGCUACAGAAGUUGAAAGCUCCAAAUAAAGUUAGAUGCUAUAUGAACAUAAUAUCGUAGAAGUCGGUGAUUGAAGCAAUCGAGUUACAUGUUGAAAAAGAAAGACAAAUAAUUAAUUGAUUUGAUUCUUUUACCGCUCAAUAGCCCAAGCACCGCUCACGGAUAUUUUAUUAGAAGGCUUGGUUGAUAGUUCUUCUAACUUUCUGACAUUAUUCAUAUGAGGAAAUACCCAGUAAUUAGUCCACUGAUUUGAAUGAUAUUGAAAGGUUAAGAUUUUGUGUGUAAUAUUAAGUUGAAAAAAGGGGCUGUCGAUCCUAUCCCCUAUGUACAUCUAGGGACAUAUUCAAUCGAUAUAAUUUUAAAUAUAAUUUUUUAAUCAUUAGAUGAUACUUAUUUCAAUGGUUUAAAUUGAAACUUACAUAGUAUUUUUUCAAGGGAAAUUUACACUCGUCCACAUGUUUAUUUUGCAUUUUUCAAAAAUAUACAAAUAAUUUUUUUUUUCAACGCGCUACCUGAAGUUUGUUUUUUGUUGCAUUCGUCCACUUCCGUCUAAUUUCCAUUAGUGGAUUUAACGGAAUGUUAACGAAAUGACCUUUUUACCCUCAAAAUUACAAUUUAACCCAAAAUAAAUGAAAAUUGGAGAUAAAUUGGAUGGAUUCCAAUUUCUAUUUAUUUUGGGUUAAAUUGUAAUUUUGAAGGGCAAAAAGGUCAUUCCGUUAAAUUCACUAACAGAAAUUAGACGGAAGUGGACGAAUGCAACAAAAAGCAAACUUCAGGUAGCGCGUUGAAAAAAAAAAUUAUUUGUAUAUUUUUGAAAAAUGCAAAAUAAACAUGUGGACGAGUGUAAAUUAAAACAAACAAGUGGACGGUUGUAAAUUUCUCUUUUUUCAAUGGUAACAGUAAAUAAGUAGUGGUCCCCAACCUUUAUUAGAUCUUCCCUCCCUUUUCUCUUCCUCUUCCUCUCUUUCCGUUAAUAGAUCCUCCUUACCGAGUUUUGUAUCUUAAAAGUUAAAGCAAAAGAUUUUUAAUUCAAUAAAAAUGGUUUUGCAUAGGGUUGGCAAUUUAAGGGUCUGGGCCGGGCUUUGCCAAGCUCAGGACCAGGCCCAUAUAAUGUUUAAAAAGUUCAGGCCCUCUUAAAGCCCAUCCAAAUUGGGUGGGCUGGGCCUUGACGGGCCUGGGCUUUUAUGAAUUUUCAAAAUUUUUUUAAUAAAAUUAUAAAUUUUCAAAACAUAAUUAUCGAAUACAUAAUACUACAAUAGACUAAAAACUUAAACAUAAUUCUCUAAUACAUGAUUAGCCAACACAAAAUAUAAAAAUACUAACAUCACAAGUACCAUACACAACAUACAAAUCAAGUAAUCAACCACUAAUAUAAAAAAGAAACUAAUCCAAUAUUUGCGGGCCAUCUUCGUCCUCAUCCUUCAAUUCUUCGCUAGUAAAAAUUUCUUCUUCAGGAACUCCACCUAAUAAAAAAAAGUGUUAAAAUAAAGGGAGCCCCUAUGUUACAAUUAAUGUAACAUACACACUCAACAACAACCACACAAAUGAUGGACCCACACAAUUUGUGUGGUUGUUGUUGAGUGUGUAUGUUACAUUAAUUGUAACAUAGCAUUUGCCUAUUUAUAAUUGGUUAAUAAAGUAGAAAAGUUGAACGACAACCAUAAUAACCACCGCCGAUCAUGACAUCUCAUCGUCCGUGGCAUAAUUUUGGUACCUAUUGACACCAAUUUUGGUAUCAUUGGAAUCCACAUCGCUGGAACUAUCCAAUGGUACAUAAAUUGGCGGAAAUAAAGUUUCUGUCCAUUGUAGAUCAUAGGCGAUUUUUCUCCUAAAUAAUUUAGGAUCCCAUUAUAGAUAAAAACUCCUAAUUUUAUUUUUAAAUUAUAGUUAUUAAUUAUUUAUUUGUAUUUAUUAUUGUUUAUAAUUAUAUUCUCUAUAAACAAACCACUAAAUCCUUACAAAAUCCCCUUUUAACAUUAUAAUUAACAAUUUUAAUCCCAUUUAUUUUCUCUAUAUAUUUCAUCUAAAACUCUAUAAAGGCCACAUAUUUUUUAAAAUUAUUGUCCAUUAAUAUAUUUUUUCAAUAAAAAAAAAUACACGAAUCCUUCACUACUCUGGUAAAAAAACUAUUUUCUCUACUCUACUUUUCACUUAAGAGAAAAAAAUCAAUGGUUUUACUAUCCAUUGAUCACUACUACUCAAAGCCUUAAUUCAUUAAAGUUAAAGUUUUCAAAUUUCUAGGAUCUACCUUUCCAUUCUCUUAAUAAUUAAUUAUGUUAUUAAGUUGUUUUUGUUUCUUUUUAAAAAUAUUAUUGUGUUCAUAGGUUGUUUUCUUGUAAUUAAUUAUCUAGCAUAUAAUUGUUUGCUUAAUUACCCUUGUUUCACUAGGAAAAAAAAAGCUUAUUAUACAAUUUUUUUUAAAAAAAUAUAUAUUUAUAUUAUUUAUUAUAAAGCCCAGGCUUUUCAUUCAAGCCCUUAACUGAGCCCAUAUGUAAUGGGCUUUAUUAAUUAUGAGCCCUUAUCCAUAAUUUCAAGCCGCGGGCUGGGCUUAAAGCCCGCGGGCCUGUGCGGGCUUGGGCCGGCCCGGGCUUUUCUGCCAACCCUAAUUUUACAAGUUAUUGAUAAAAGAUAAAGACAAGUGUUGUCAUUGUUGUUUUUAAUAGAUUUAGCUAUGUAAUAGAGUAAGGGGUUAAAUCGAAAGUGAAAAUAAAAGAAACUAUUUUGAGAUUGAACUCGAAUAAUGAGUAAGACUUAUACGAAUAGAAUUUUCAGGAACUUCUAUGGUGAUUUUGAUGAGGAAUUAACUGUACACAAAUUGAAGAACUGAUUGGGUAAUAGGGAACAAUAUAAUGACUAGAAGGUAUUUUGCUUGGAAGAGCAUAUGGCUUUUUAAUCUAACAAUGUUAAAUUUUUAGUUUCAAAGCUCAAGUUUGAGAUUGAUCAUUAAUUGAAACACAAAAGAAUUUUAGUAAUGAAUGAAUGCGAUAGUGCAGAGGAGAUAUGAAAAGAGUGAUGACGAAGGUGAAUUCAAUUUAUACAACUUAGAUUGAUUUACCAGUGAGAUUUAACAAGUAAUAAAAUUACUAAUAUAGAUUUUUUUUUUAUAUUCUAACCAAAAUGGAUUUUGUUUUGAAAGGAACUAAAAUGGAUGUUCACAUCUAUCUAUAUAUAUAUAAAGCUAGGACUUGAGGAGGUGAUGUGGCAUCACCAUUUUACUUCUUUGUAUAUUAUCUAUUAUCUAAUAAAUAGAGAUUUUUAUUUUUAGAUUUGACUUUUCAUCUUCUCAUAAUUAAUUUGAUUGCAUUUAACUCAUUUAAUAAAUAGUAACUUUAUUAAUAUAUAUCAUUCCUCAUCUUUUUAUAUUUUCUAUUAUCUAAAAUAUUGGUGGAUAUUCUUUGUACUUUUUUUUAUCUUUCUAUUUAAAUUCAACAAUAUGUAAUCAUUAAUAAUAUCUAUAUAUCUAUCUAUAUCUAUCUAUAUCUAUAUAUAAAGUUGAGACUUGAGGAGGUGAUGUGGGAUCACCAUUUCUCAUCAUCUCAUAUUCUCUAUUAUCUAAUAAAUUGGUUGAAAUUAAAAAAUAAUUAUAAACAAAAUAUUAAAAUAAAAAAUAAUUAUUAGAUUAUAAAUGAUUACAUGUCUUUUCCUCUUUCUAUUUAAAUUCAACAAUAUGUAACCAUUAAUAAUAAUUAAUUAUAAGUCUUGAAACAUUCAUUUAUUUUAUUAUGCCAAUAAUUAAAUUUUAGUGGCUUAAAAUAUAUCAAUUAAUUAAUAUUAAUAUAUGAAGGAAGGUUCAUUCAUCUUCCCUCAACAAUGCCAUUAGAGCCUAAUUUUAAUGUCAUAAUCCCAUAUUUAAUUAUUCAAUCUUUUGUUUAGUGCAUUUUGGCUUCUUCAAACUCCAUAAACAUUAAAUAUUUAAGAUUUGUGGCAUCAUUAUUUCUCAUCUUUUUAUAUUCUCUAUUAUCUAAUAUAUUGGUUGAGGUUAAAAAAUAAUUACAUUACAAAAUAUUAAAUAUAUAUAUAUAUAUAUAUAGGAGGUGAUGUGGCAUCACUAUUUCUCAUCUUCUUGCAUUCUCUAUUAUCUAAUAAAUUGGUUGAUAUUAAAAAAAUAAUUACAUUACAAAAUAUUAAAAAUAAAAAAUAAUUAUUAGAUUAUAAAAGAUUAUAUGUCUCUUCCUCUUUCUAUUUAAAUUCAAUAAUAUGUAACCAUUAAUAAUAAUUAAUUAUAAGUCUUCAAACAUUAAUUUAUUUUAUUAUGCCAACAAUUAAACUUUAGUGGCUUAAAUAUAUCAAUUAAUUAAUAUAGAAAGGAAUGUUCCUUUAUCUUCCUUCAAUAAUGUCAUUAGGGUCUAAUUUUAGUGCUAUAACCUCAUAUUUAAUUAUGCAACCUUUUGUUUAGUGCCUUUUGGCUUCUUCAAACUUUAUAAAUAUUAAGUAGUUAAGAUUUGUGGCAUUAUUAUUUCUCAUCUUUUUAUAUUCUCUAUAAUCUAAUAUAUUGGUUGAGAUUAAAAAAUAAUUACAUUACAAAAUAUUAAAAAUAGAAAAUAAUUAGUAGAUUAUAAAAGAUUACAUGUCUCUUCUUCUUUCUAUUUAAAUUCAACAUUUCCCUCACCAAUAGCACUAGAACCUAAUUUUAAUGUCAUAAUUUCAUAUUUAAUUAUGCAACAUUUUAUUUAGUGUCUUUCGGCUUCUUCAAACUAUAUAAAUAUUAAGUAUUUAAGAUUUGUUAUGUUUGGAUUUUUUUUUUAUUAUUUAACCAACAUCCUCUUUAGAAAUGUUCUUGUGUUUUUAUUUUUUGACUUAUUUAAAUUUUUUGUAUUGUGUACUUCAUGGAGUAUUCUUUUCUUCAUGAGUUAAACAAUGAUAAAGAUAGUUGGAUGAUAAGGGUUAGGCUUUGUAAAAUGUAGGAGUCUGUUAAUACUAAGAAGAAUGGAGAGUUGAUUAGUGUGAACAUAAUUUUUAUUGAUGAAAAUGUUGUGUAUACUUAACUAUACACAUUAAUAUAUAUUUUUUAAGUUAACAAAAAAAUAAUUAACUUUCAUAAAUAACAUUAGUUUUAUAAGGCUGCGUCAUCUUUAAAAAAAAAUUAAUUCAUAUUUUUUUAUCAAUUUUAUUAAGUGUAAAGUAAUAAAAAAAUAAUACUAUUUUUUUUAAAGCCGCACGAAGUGCGGUUCUAUUUCCUAGUAUAUAUAUAAAGUUAGGACUUGAGGAGGUGAUGUGGCAUCACCAUUUUGCUUCUUUGUAUAUUCUCUAUUAUCUAAUAAAUAUAGAUUUUUAUUUUUAGAUUUGGCUUUUCAUCUUCUCAUAAUUAAUUUGAUUGUAUUUAACUCAUUUAAUAAAUAGUAACUUUAUUAAUAUAUAUCAUUCCUCAUCUUUUUAUAUUUUCUAUUAUCUAAAAUAUCUAAAAUAUUGGUGGAUAUUCUUUGUAUUUUUUUUCUCUUUCUAUUUAAAUUCAACAAUAUGUAAUCAUCUAUCUAUCUAUAUCUAUAUCUAUCUAUAUAUAUAUAUAUAUAUAUAAAGCUAGGACUUGAAGAGGUGAUGUGGCAUCACCAUUUUGCUUCUUUGUAUAUUCUCUAUUAUCUAAUAAAUAGAGAUUCUUAUUUUUAGAUUUGGCUUUUCAUCUUCUCAUAAUUAAUUUGAUUGUAUUUAACUCAUUUAAUAAAUAGUAACUUUAUUAAUAUAUAUCAUUCCUCAUCUUUUUAUAUUUUCUAUUAUCUAAAAUAUCUAAAAUAUUGGUGGAUAUUCUUUGUAUUUUUUUUCUCUUUCUAUUUAAAUUCAACAAUAUGUAAUCAUUAAUAAUAAUUAAUCAUAAGUCUUUUGAAACAUUUAUUUAUUUUAUUAUGCUAGCAAUUAAACUUUAGUGGCAUAAAAUACAUGAAUUAAUUAACAUAGGAAGAGAGGUUCUUUCAUCUAGUUGGGACUACAAGAGGUGAUGUGGCAUCACCAUUUCUCAUAAUUUCAUAUUGUCUAUUAUUUAAUAAAUUGGUUGAAAUUAAAAAAUAAUUACAUUACAAAAUAUUAAAAUAGAAAAUAAUUAUUAGAUUAUAAAUGAUUACAUGUCUUUUCCUCUUUCUAUUUAAAUUCAACAAUAUGUAACCAUUAAUAAUAAUUAAUUAUAAGUCUUUUGAAACAUUUAUUUAUUUUAUUAUGCUAGCAAUUAAACUUUAGUGGCAUAAAAUACAUGAAUUAAUCUAUCUAUCUAUCUAUACAUAUAUAUAAAGUUGGGACUACAAGAGGUGAUGUGGCAUCACCAUUUCUCAUAAUUUCAUAUUGUCUAUUAUUUAAUAAAUUGGUUGAAAUUAAAAAAUAAUUACAUUACAAAAUAUUAAAAAUAAAAAAUAAUUAUUAGAUUAUAAAAGAUUAUAUGUCUCUUCCUCUUUCUAUCUAAAUUCAAUAAUAUGUAACCAUUAAUAAUAAUUAAUUAUAAGUCUUCAAACAUUAAUUUAUUUUAUUAUGCCAACAAUUAAACUUUAGUGGCUUAAAUAUAUCAAUUAAUUAAUAUANNNNNNNNNNNNNNNNNNNNNNNNNNNNNNNNNNNNNNNNNNNNNNNNNNNNNNNNNNNNNNNNNNNNNNNNNNNNNNNNNNNNNNNNNNNNNNNNNNNNNNNNNNNNNNNNNNNNNNNNNNNCUUUUCAUCUUCUCAUAAUUAAUUUGAUUGUAUUUAACUCAUUUAAUAAAUAGUAACUUUAUUAAUAUAUAUCAUUCAUCAUCUUUUUAUAUUUUCUAUUAUCUAAAAUAUUGGUGGAUAUUCUUUGUACUUUUUUUUUCUCUUUCUAUUUAAAUUCAACAAUAUGUAAUCAUUAAUAAUAAUUAAUUAUAAGUCUUUUGAAACAUUUAUUUAUUUUAUUAUGCUAGCAAUUAAACUUUAGUGGCAUAAAAUACAUGAAUUAAUUAACAUAGGAAGAGAGGUUCUUUCAUCUAUAUAUCUAUCUAUAUAUAUAAAGUUGGGACUAAAGGAGGUGGUGUGGCAUCACUAUUUCUCAUCUUCUUAUAUUAUCUAUUAUCUAAUAAAUUGGUUGAUAUUAAAAAAAUAAUUACAUUACAAAAUAUUAAAAAUAAAAAAUAAUUAUUAGAUUAUAAAAGAUUAUAAAAGAUUAUAUGUCUCUUCCUCUUUCUAUUUAAAUUCAAUAAUAUGUAACCAUUAAUAAUAAUUAAUUAUAAGUCUUCAAACAUUAAUUUAUUUUAUUAUGCCAAAAAUACAUCAACUAAUUAAUAUAGGAAGGAAUGUUCUUUCAUCUUCCCUCAAUAAUGCCAUUAGGGUCUAAUUUUAAUGCUAUAAUCUCAUAUUUAAUUAUGCAACCUUUUGUUUAGUGCCUUUUGGCUUCUUCAAACUCUAUAAAUAUUAAGUAGUUAAGAUUUGUGGCAUUAUUAUUUCUCAUCUUUUUAUAUUCUCUAUAAUCUAAUAUAUUGGUUGAGAUUAAAAAAUAAUUACAUUACAAAAUAUUAAAAAUAGAAAAUAAUUAGUAGAUUAUAAAAGAUUACAUGUCUCUUCUUCUUUCUAUUUAAAUUCAACAAUAUGUAACCAUUAAUAAUAAAUUAAUUAUAGUUUUGAAACAUUCAUUUAUUUUAUUAAGCCAACAAAUAAACUUUAGUGGUUUAAAAUACAUCAACUAAUUAAUAUAGGAAGGAAUGUUCUUUCAUCUUCCCUCACCAAUACCACUAGGACCUAAUUUUAAUGUCAUAAUUUCAUAUUUAAUUAUACAACCUUUUAUUUAGUGUCUUUUAGCUUCUUCAAACUAUAUAAAUAUUAAGUAUUUAAGAUUUGUUAUGUUUGUAUUUUUUUUAAUUAUUUAACCAACAUCCUCUUCAGAAAUAUUCUUGUGUUUUUAUUUUUUACUUAUUUAAUUUUUUUUAUUGUGUACUUCAUGGAGUAUUCAUUUCUUUAUGAGUUAAAUAAUGAUAAAGAUAGUUGGAUGAUAAGGGUUAGGCUUUGUAAAAUGUGGGAGUCUGUUAAUACCAAGAAGAAUGGAGAGUUGAUUAGUGUGAACAUAAUUUUUGUUGAUGAAAAGGUUGUGUACACUUAACUAUACACAUUAAUAUAUAUUUUUAAAGUCAACAAAAAAAUAAUUAACUUUCAUAAAUAACAUUAGUUUUAUAAGGUUGCGUCAUCUUUUAAAAAAAAUCAAUUCAUAUUUUUUAUCAGUUUUAUCAAGUGUAAAGUAAUAAAAAAAUAAUACUAAUUUUUUUUAAAAGCUGCACAUUUCCUAGUUAUAUAAUAAAAUUCGGUAAUGGAAAGUUUAUGGAGUUGGAUAGGUAUUGAAAUAGAAAAGAUUUGUUAAGAGACAAGAGAGUGAAAAUUUAAUACAAUGGGAUCUACGAUAAUUAAUUAGUUUUUACAAUUGAAAAAUUAUAUAUAAGCCAUAAUGUUAACCCUUGGAUAAACUUUAAUCUAGUGACUAGAAAAUUAUGUCCAAAAUUACUCUGUGUGUGUGUAUAUAUAUAUAUAUAAUCAUUCUCAAGUGUGGAUGUCUGUAAUUUUUUUAAUAUGGACACACUUUUAAACCGUACGGCUUAAAAGAGUCAGUUUCUAAAUAAACUAUAAAACCAUGUGGUCUAAAAAAAUUAAAAACUAAUUUUCUUAAAUCCUACAGCUUUAAAGUGUGUCCGCAUGAAAAGAAAAAAUAAAGGCACCCGUAUUAGAGAAGAAUAUAUAUAUACAUACACACCCCGCCCUUUUUCACCAAAUGAAUAAAGGAAUCAAUAAAGUUGCAAAUUAACCAUUUUAUAUAUACAAAUUGAUGCGACAUAGUACAUGUUUCCUUUUAUUCAUUUUUGUUUAUUCAAUUAAAGUUGUGAGGCAUGCAAGUUAAUUUCGUACAAGAUAGAGAAACUGUCCACUAAUCGAGUGAUCUUGUGUAAUGCAUGGUUAUUUACUUAUGUAUGUGGAUUGCUAAGAACGGUAAAAUUCUAAAUCUAAACUAAAGUUAGUUAGAUUAUGCGUAAAAUUCAAACUGGCAAUUUUCAACACCACUCCCGAAUCGGACAUGAGAUAAUAGGUUUGCUUUGUCUAAAAUUGACGCACGGAUAUUAUUAAAUGUGUCAAAUUCAGGUGUCCUGUUUAGUAUUUAUGCCGUGUUCGGAUUUAGUUCUACAUGAUAAUUCAUCUGUUAUGUGAUUAACGACUUAUUUUUUCAUAUGGUAAAACUACGUUAUAUUUGCCAUUUUUUUCUUUUUAAAUUAGUUAUAUUUUAUGUGGAUUAGAAUUUGAGUAAGUUACACUAGAAAUAUUUUAGACACAUAUAUUAUGUCAUAUCUAUAUCUAUAUAUCUAUAUAUAAAGCUGGGACUUGAGGAGGUGAUGUGACAUCACCAUUUCUCAUAUUUGUAUAUUCUCUAUUAUCUAAUAAAUAGAGAAAUUUUCUUUUAGAUUUGGUUUUUUAUCUUCUCAUAAUUAAUUUGAUUAUUAUUACUUAAUAACAAUUAUGUAAAGAUUUUAAUGAGAUAUAUUCUUUGUAAUGAACAUCCAAGAGGGAGUGUUAUGAAUUUAUUAAAAUAAAUAUAGAUGUUCAUAACAUAUAUUUCUUAGUCUCCCCACUAUCUCCCAUUAGCAACUUUUAGCUUCCUUAUAACUCCCACUAUCUCACAAGGAAUUAUGAUUCAUAAUUUUUCAUUAAUUUCAUGGAGUGAUUAUGUAACUAUAAAAGGAGAGCUCAUCUUUUUGUUUUGUAUACACACAAUUGGAAUGAAUAAAAUCACUCUAUAAUAUAUUCUCUCAUUUUAUUCUUUAUCUUGUGUUUCUUCUUUAUUUGUAUUGCUGGCUAAUAUUUUUUUUUUAUAAGGCUGCCUCAUCUUAAAAAAAAAUUAAUUUAUAUUUUUUAUCAGUUUCAUCAAGGGUAAAGUAAGAAAAAAUGAUAAUACUAAAUUCUUUUUUCAAAGCCGCGUGAAGCGUGGUUCUAUUUUCUAGUUAAUUUAUAAAUCUAAAUCUUUUCAGAUUUCUAUGGUAUUUUGACAUAAUGUUGACACUUCAAUAUAGUUGUGGUGUAUUAGGUAUUUAUUCCCAUAUUUAUCACACUAAUGGCUAAUUAAGAAUUAAAUGGAAUAAUACUUAACUAACAAAAUAAAUGUGAAAUACAAAUAUGAGAGAGUUGUUAUAGCCAUAAUUUCAAAUCCCAGAGUAGAUCUCAUAACCUUAGCAUAUUUUUAGAUUGAUUUUUAUUAAUAUCUUUACCCGUAUUUAAUUUUUUGUUGUUUAACAACUUGACUACUGAAUUUUAGUUUCCUAUUGUUUGACUCCGGAUUCACGGAUUUAUAUUCUAACCAGAUACUUUUAUAUUUGGGAGUAAUAACACUUUUGAGUUGUGUCAGAAAGCACGUGGUAUAUUGAUAGAUGAUCAGUACAGUUGGAGAGCUUAGUUUUACAAUAAAAAAGCACAUUGUACAUGGAUUGGUGAUUUCUCUAUAAAAAUAAAAUGGUAGGAUAUAUAUAUAUAUAUAUAUAAUGUGCUCUCUUUGUAGAGAUAUUAUGUUAAUACUAUGUGUGAAUCUUUUCAUAAGAAGAACUUGAUCAAAAUACAUAUUUUUUAAUUACAAUUAUAAAACAUCAGGAAAGCAUAUAAACUUCACUUAUGUUAAUGACUGCAUGUCCAUUUAGCAUUUUAAUGGUCUAUCAUUAUAUUUUUUAUAGUAGACAAAAUUUUCAUUCUCUCUGUUAAUUCUUCUCCAUAUCAGGUAUAAUAAUAUCAAACUGCUAAUUGGAUCUAGUUCCACGAUUAUCAAACACAGUUGGUGCAUUGCGGCAAAUUUAGGUCAUAACUCUUCAUUGUCUACUGAGAUCAUGGUCGUUAUUCAUGCGAUCACCCAAGCCUAUGAGCUCGGUUCUAGGUUUAUUUGUUUAGAGAAUUACUCAAUGGCUGACCCUCUGUUAUCUCUCGCCAUCUCAAAAAAAUUUUUAAGGCACCUUGGAUGGUUCAUAGUCAUUGGCCCAAUUGUCGUGUAAUGAUUUCACACAUGUCCUUCAAUUACACCCCGUUUAUCGUGCAGACAAUCCGCGAGUUGCAAAUUGGAUGAGGAUGUCCUCAAUUUUCUUGGUUUAAUUCUCCUUCUCCUUAAGAUUAAGAAGCUCUUUUCAAGGAUAGAUUGGGUUUUCCUAACUAUAGAUUCUCUUAACCUUUGUCUUAUUGUCUCUACAGUGUGUUUUAGGAGAUAAAUCCCUCUAUAAUUUUGUAUUGACUUUAUUUUUCUUUAUAUUUUAUUGACGAGCUUUAUUUGAAAAAAGAAAAUACCACACCACGACAUACGAACAUAUCAAAGCUGUCUAUACUCAUUGAAGAAACUUUGAAGAAAGUAAAUUAUGAGUUACUCCUAAAAUAUGUUUAGUUGAAUCUUUCACAGGUUAAUUUUAAAAAUAAAAAUAAAAAACUUUAGAAAUUAUUAAGAGUCCACUCAAAUAUAAUUUCUCCCAUUAUAAAAAAAACACACAAAAACUUUUAAUUUAUUCAAGUUAUAUCUGAAAAUUUGUUUUUAAGUGAUACUUGAUGUCCAUUAUUUCACUGUGUAUUGACCUCUAGGCCCGUAAUGCCACAGCAAUUUAUCCUCACAAUUGGAUUGAGGGAGAGGAAUCUUCGUAAUUUACUCAACAUCUAUCUUCAUAGACUGGCGUUUGAUUAAUUCUUUAACUCACUGGUUCUGUUCAGUAAUCAACUUAAUAAAGAAAGGGCGCUAAAAUUAAUUUAAUAACAAUCUAUGAUGACAUUACAAAAACGAAAAUUUAAUAAUUAGCUCUCCUCAUCUUAUUUAAAAAUGCACUUUUCUUAUAGCAUGACAAGGUGACAUACAUUAAAUUAACUCAAAACAAACAAAACAAAAACACCAGCAACUAGGUAGAAACUUCAUCUUAAUUACUCGGCUUGUGAUUCAAUCCGUUCCUCUAACACACCUAUUGUUGCCUCCACUUUUCCAAUGUGUUUCAUCUUGGCUGCCUUAUUCUCUUCAACAACCCUUCUCUUAUCCUCAAUUGUCCUCUCCAAUUUUUCAAGAGUAUUUUGCUCACCAGGUUGAAACCCUUCAAUUUGGUUCACAAUUUUUCCAUACUGCUCAAGUGUUUCCCUCACUUCAAAGAUACCAACGUCCUUCCCAUUAGGAGCUUCAGCUUCCAUUCUCUCUUUUGGUGGAUCUAUGAUGCUGAAGCUGAAAUAUACAAAGGAAUGAGGGAAGCAAGUAGUUCGUUAGAUUAUGUAAAUUUAUAGUUGAUAUCCUCUAGAGAAAAAUAAAUUAAAAUUUUGAUGGGCCCAUUAUCUUUGCUAGGUAAACCAUGCAUUUAUAAUUCUCCCAAAUCAUGUCUUGUUAGUGAUCUAUCUAUAUUGAACCAUACAUUACUCAUUUUUUAACUAUUUGUUUCUUUCUUAAUUGCACGUAAAGGUGGUAAUUUUUACUUUUGUGUCAAGUCAAAUUUGAGUCAACUUGAACUCAAACAUUACUCAUUUUUUAACCAUGUCAAAAAUUUCAAACACCAAUCCAAUUUAUUUAUCAUGUGUCACUCAUUCAAUAUCUUUUUAAUAUAUAUGUGUCUAAAAUAUGUCUAGUGUAACUUACUCAAAUUCUAAUCUACAUAAAUAUAACAAAUUAAAAAAAAAGGUGGCAAAUAUAACGUAGUUUUACUAUAUGAAAAAUAUGUCGUUAAUCACAUAAAAAAUUAAUUAUCUUGCAGAACUAAAUCUAAACCCGGCAUAAAUACUAAACAGGACACCUGAAUUUGACCCAUUUAAUAGUAUCCGUGUGUCAAUUUUAGACAAAGCAAGCCUAUUAUCUCAUGUCCGAUUCGGGAGUGGUGUUGAAAAAUGCCACUUUGAAUGUUAUGCGUAAUCUAACUAAUUUUUGUUUAGAUUUAGAAUUUUACAGUUCUUAAUAAUCCACAUACAUAAGUAACCGUGUAUUACACAAGAUCACUCGAUUAGUGGACCGUUUCUUUAUCUUAUACGAAAUUAAUUUGCAUGCCUCACAACUUAAAUAAACAAAAAUGAGUAAAAGGAGACAUGUAAUAUAUCACAUCACUUUGUAUAUAUUAAAUGGCUAAUUUGUACCUUUAUUGAUUCCAUUAUUCAUUUGAUGAAAAAGGUGCUAUAUAUAUAUAGUGGCGCCCUUAUUUUUUUUUUUUUCAUGCGAACACACUUUAAAACCGUAAAGUUUAGGAGAGUUAGUUUUUAACUCUAUUAAACUAAGGGUUUUAUAUGUCAUGUAGAAACUAACUUUUUAAAUCGCAUAGUUUAAAAGUGUGUCCGCAUUAAAAAAAAUACAGACGUUUGUACCUGAGAAUGAUUUUAUAUAUAUAUAUAUAUAUGGACAGCAAUUUUAGACAUAAUUUUCUAGUCACUAGAAUAAAGUUGAUCCAAGGGUUAACAUUAAGGCUUAUAUGUAAUUUUUCAAUUGUAAAGACUAAUUGAUUAUCGUAGAUCCCACUAUAUUAAAUUUCCACUCUCUUGUCUCUUUACAACUCUUUUCUAUUUCAAAACCUUUCCAACUCCAUAAACUUUCCAUUGCCGAAUUUUAUUAUAUAAUAUGAAACAUGCAUUUUAGUUCCUUUCAAAACAAAAUCCAUUUUAGUUAGACUAAAAAAAACUAUAUUAGUAAUUUAAUUACUUGUUAAAUCUCACUGGAAAAUCAAUCUAAUUUGUAUAAAAUGGAUUCACCGUCGUCAUCACUCUUUUCAUAUCUCCUCUGCACCAUCGCAUUCAUUCGUUACUGAAAUUCUUUUGUGUUUCAAUUAAUGAUCAAUCUCUAACUCGAGAUUUGAAACUAAAAAUUUAACAUUGUCAGACUAAAAAGCCAUAUGUUCUUCCAAGCAAAAUACCUUCUAGUCAUUAUAUUGUUCCCCAAUGACCCAAUUCUUCAAUUUGUGCACGGUUAACUCCUCAUCAAAAUCAUCAUAGAAGUUCCUGAAAAUUCUAUUCCUAUAAAUCUUACCCAUUAUUCGAGUUCCAAUCUCAAAAUUCUCAAGUUUCUUUUAUUUUGACUUUCGAUUUUACCCCUUACCCUAUUACAUAGCUAAAUCUAUUAAAAACAACAACAACACUUGUCUUUAUCUUUUAUCAAUAAUUUGCAAAACCUUUUUUAUUGAAUUAAAACUUUUUUGCUUUAACUUUCAAGAUACAAAACUCGGUAAGGAGGAUCUAAUAAAGGAAAGAGAGGGAAGAUAUAAUAAAAGGUUGGGGACCACUGCUGAUUAUUGUUACCAUUAAAAAAAAAAUACUAUGUAAGUUUCAAUUUAACACAUUAAAAAAAGUAUCAUCUAAUGAUUAAAAAAAUAUAUUCAAAAUUAUAUCUUUUGAAUAUGUCCCUAUAUAUAUAGGGGAUAGGAUCGAAAGCCCUUUUUUUCGACAUAAUAUUAUACACAAAAUCUUAACCCUUCAAUAGCAUUCAAAUCAAUGGACUAAAUUAAAUGCUGAUUUUUAUUUUUAUAAAUAACAAAACAAAAAAAAUUAAUGGGCCCCGUAAUAUAUUAUUAAAAAUUUUCUAUUCUUUUUCCUAUUUUAUCUUCAUAAUUAAUAAUAUUUGAUCCUCUCUAAUCAUUCACUUACAUUAAAUAACUCUUCCCUAAAUCGUAAGUACAAGCAUCAAUAGCAUAAAAUGGGAAACAAAAAGUUGAGAUGCCGUGGUGUUGGUUUUAGCUCAUUAAAUAAAGUUUCUCUAAUAUUUGAUGUCAGAAAUUACUGGGUAUUUCCUCAUAUGAAUAAAAUAUCCGCGAGUGUUGCUUGGGCUAUUGAGCGGUAAAAGAAUCGAAUCAAUUAAUUAUUUGUCUUUCUUUUUCAACAAGUAACUCGAUUUGCUUCAAUCACCAACUUCUACGACAUUACGUUCAUAUAGCAUCUAACUUUAUUUGGGGCUUUCAAGUUCUGUAGCAGUUAAGCUUUCAUUGGUUUUCUUUAUUUAAAAAAUAAAAAUUAACAAAAGAUAUCUAAUUGAAGAUUUUCGUUUCAAAAGUUCUAUAGAUAGGUUUAACAAGGGGAAAAAAUCAAUUUUGUAUUUAACCUUUUCGUUUAUAUUUUCUAUUUAGUUCCUUAACAAAUUUCUUUUUAAUAACAAAUUAAGUUUCAGGUGUGUUUAUAUCAUUAGUUCUUCUUCUAUGCUCUUGCAUGCUCAUGGUUAGGGGUGGAUGUUCGGAUUGGGUUAAAGGUUGUAACUAAUUUGGGUUGAAAAUUGAAACCCCAAAUUGAAAUACAACCCGAUCGGGUUAAUCAAGAAAAUUUAAAAAAAAAAACAAAUAACUUAAAAAGCAGAAACAUAUUUGAUGCCUUGGAUUUUUUUUCUUGUUAACAGGUUUCAGUGAUGAAAUCCCACUAAUGGUUCUUUCUUCUCAUCAUUAAUAUGUAGUGUUAAGUCAAUUAUUUAUAGAGUUGGCAUCUUAUGACAAUUAUAGUUAAAUUGAAAUUUGAUUUAUUGCAUAUAUUGUAAUAGAGAUUAAUUUAUUAAUUCCCUAAUUUAAUGAGAUUUCAAUUUAUUAGAAAUAUUUGUUUCCUAAUUUAAUUAGAUGUCUGAUUUAGUAAGUCAAUUAAUAAUGAGAUUCUAUAAUUUGCACAUGAGAUCCAUUUAGAGAAAGAAGUUGGUCCAAAAAGGAAGUUUAUUAAAUGCUCUAGAUGUUAAAGAAGCAUUAACAUGAUAAAUCCUGAGGGGCAACCCUCCCAUGGUCUCCACCCGGGGUGGAAGGCGACCCCGACUGGAACCCAUUGAUUUGGCCGACCAGCCAGCCACCACGAAAUAACCAAACAAAAAACAAGAAAAAUAUAUAAUAACAGAAACAGGAGAAAACCGAGCUCUCUUGCCACCAUUGAUUUGGCCGAUCAUGGUGAUUUCCACCGUUGUCGCCGCCUUCCCAUAUGGCACACGAAGCUGCAACCUUCGGAAUAACUACCCAGUACCCAGCCACUGCACCAAACCCCCUUGAUCCAAACCACCGCAACACAUAUUCCACCACGCACCACCGAAACUCAAUGCAGCACAAAACCUCUGAAGAUACAAACCAGCCGCUCCCUCAAGCAUCCUUGAUCCAAACCACGCAUGCAGCUCCUUCGGCAUGCAAAAACUAUAUGCAUAACCAAACAAAUGCUUGUAUCUCCGACCAUGAAAACCGCAGCUGUGCUUUCAAUCAAUCAUCGUCACAGCCGCCACCUGGAGCUUCAGCUACCCCCGCCUCCACUCCCUUGAGGCUACAACAAUCUCCAUCCAUCCUCGCACCCCAAAACGAAGGAAGAAAACAAUCACUACAAGAAAACCGAUUAGUACCGAGGGACACAUUCCCUCGGUAUUUCUGUAAAUCCCUCAGUAAUAGUGAUUACCGAGGGAUUCUUUCCAUUGGAGUCCGUCGUGAAAGCGUUUGUCGUUACUUCUGUACAACCGACAACCCUCGGAAAUAGGUACUAUUUCCUACGGAUGUUUUCCUUGAUAUAAAAAUUAACGUUCCUCGGUAAAAGUAUUCAAACGAGGAAGAAAAACACUUCCUAAGGCUAUUUUUUGUAGGUAAUAGUUAACUUCCGAUGGUGUGUUUUUUGUCGGUACAAUUAUGAUUCGUCGGAAAUAGAAAUUCCGACUGCAUAUGGCACUUGGAACAAAAUUUAGGGGAUAAUGAAUAUUCCCUCGGAAAUGUUAAAUAUUGACCACUGACAUUUCGUCGGAAAUCAAUGUUUCGUCGGAAAUCAAUAAUUAAUUAAGAACAUUAAUAUUACGUUAUUUUUUCUUUUUUUGUUAUAUCAAUUAAUUCGGUCCUAAAAUCAUAGAAUCAUAGAAUCAAUGUGUAAUAAAAUUAAAACAGUUAUUAUAAAAUAUCAUUAGUUCAUUAAAUUAAAAUAACAAUCAAUACAUGUAACAAAAGCCAAAUGUAGUUCAUUGAUGGUUCAGCUUCAUGCAAAAUGAUUUCGCAUCUUCAGAUUCUCACACAUCAACAACUAAGGUUGUACAUCCAUACUUCUUAAAUAUUCCAGCUAUUUGGCUCAUCACUUUCAAUUUGUUCCUCAUCUUCAUCCUCUACUCUAGUGUCCUGCAUUAUUAUUUCAAAAUCUAUUUUAUACAAGUGCGCCAUGCUAUAAUAUUAACUAAAGAAACAAAGGGACAAUAACACUAAAUAAAAUUAGUCCAAACACUUGACAUAUUAAAACCGAAAAAUUUUUAAAGUAGAAUUAAAGGCAAACAAGCGCUAACUUAUUUAGUCCAACUAAAGAAGAGAUGCACAAUCCAAUCACCAAAGGCAAAAACAUCCUGAAACUCAAUAAAUUUUCGCAAGCAUCAUAUAAUGGUACAAUAUAAGUAAGUUGAUACACAAGCACGGCAAUCCUUUCAGUUGCCGAAAAGAAAUGAUAUCUUUAUAAAACAACAGUCAUGGCAACAAAAAAUCCUACAUCAUUUCUAAUUCUCUCUUUUUUCAGUCAUCAUUCUUCUAAUAGACUAUAUGAAACUACACAGACCAAUUUUCAUAAAACUUAUCCUUAAAAGAGAAGAAAAAUGACUAAAAUAGAUUAAUGGCAAAAGAAAAUAAUUUCAUUUAGCAUUAUGCGCAUCAAUCAUAAGUUCCAUUUAAGAGACAAAAAGAAAAAUAAUCAUACCAUGUUAGACACUUGCUGGAAGCUUGAUUGAGACUUAACAAAAUUCAUUUUCUCUUCCAUUAUUUUCAUUUGAUCUUUUACUUUUCCAAGCUCACUUAAUUCCUCUUCCAUUUAAUUCCAAUUCUCUCCUUGGUAUAACAUGAAUGUCCUUGCUGCUCCCGUCAUCCAAGGAAAGAUAGACAUCCCUUGGUUUCAUACCUACACCUCAUAUAAAAAGUUAAUUUUUCUUUUUGUUCUAGAUUAACGAAAACAAAGUACACAAAAGGUCUCCAAACCAAUCAGAUUUUAUAGAUAAUAUUACAAUAUUCUAGAUUAAGAAUCUAAUUUAUACAAGUAAAUUAUUCAAGUUCAAAGGUUAAAAGUAAAGAAAAAAACCAAUUCAUUAUAUUUAUAUUAUUACCUCCAACCCAGCCCACAACUCGACAUUUCCGGUGGCAUAUUACUAAAAAUCAUUAAAAAUAAAUAUAAGGAAAUUAAUUUGCUACUGAAUAAACUACUAAAUAAACCAAAAAGAAAAACUACUAAAUAAACAAAUAAAGAAAGGAAGAUAAAGCCAUAGUACAGGAUGUCCUAGUAAUUAAUCACAUAGUAUGGACUCCAAGUAAUAUAAACACAAUAAAUAUGCAAAAAAAAAAAAAAAGACAAUGUUACAUUACCGUGAUCUUUCAGAAGCCACGAGGAGUGAUGAGAAAAAUAAGCUGUCACACGCCUUGGUCACCAAACUAGAUACUGAAAUCUUCAAUUUGCUGCAAAUUAAUUUCAAGAAUAUUAAAAUUUAAUUCCAGUAUUAUUCUUGUCAACUCUUCAAUUUCAAAAUUAAUUUGCAAGGAGUGGCUGUAUGAUCGUAAUUUUUUACCAAGAAUGGACAAAAUUAAGUGGAAUCGCAAUCAGUAAUGCAAAAUAAAGUGGUAUUGCAAAUUCCUACAAACGAACAGAAUUCUCAAAUGCUAAAUAAUAAUAAAUUAAUACGAUUAAAAUAUUGAAAUUGAAAUAGAACAAAUAUGUAACAAGUAUACCUUUGUUCUUCAGAUUUUGGUGAGUGGCAUCAUUAUUACUUUAAAUCUUCUUUCACAACCUUCAGCAAUGAAAAAAAAAAGUAAUAUAAUGAGCUAUUAUCAUUUCAUUCCUUAAAAUAUAUGUGUGUAAUCAAAUAAAACAAUCAGAAUUUUAAAGCUGGAGUAACAUGGAUUAUUGUUUAAUUAAAAUCUAAAUAAAGUGAAAAGACAUUAAAAUAGCCUGAAAAAUUUGGGUCCUAUUUCAUAUUUAUUAAUUUUAAAACAAAUAAUUAAACAAAACUAGAUUUUGUGUUUUUUUUUUCCUUUCAGCAUUAUCUCUGAAACAAAAAUUAUAAAAAUACAUUUUUUUUUCCUUUCAGUGUUAUCUUUAUAACAAAGUUUUCAAGAACUCUUUCAUAAUGGAAAGUCAAACCCAAUACCCCGCAAAAUUAUGAGGAAAAAGCAAAACCCGACCAUUGCAUGAGUAAGUUUUGAUUUCAAAAAUCCUUCAUAAUUAAAAUUUAUUUUUAUCAUCUUUAAUUAAAAAAAAACCCUCUGUUUUAACCAAAUAAUAUAAGAAAAUAAGCAAGCAAAAUGAAAAGGGGAAAUAAUACUCACAUUGGAAAUCGUACUGUGAAGAUAUGAAUUUGAUGAAGAAAGAUGCUACAUUCCUCUCAAGGUUUCUAAAAUUGGAUUUGUUUUUAUGAGAGUGCAAGCAAAAGAAAGAAGCAAUGUCUUUUUUUUUUAUUAUUAAGAUGGGCUCAAUAAGACGAGCUAAAACGGAACAAUACGGGGUUUAGCAACCCCAAACAUCUCUUGCAAAAUAACUGAAUAAAUGCUUACAGGCGGGCUAUUAAAUAAAUGUAACCCAUGAGGGAGUGAAUGAGCCAUAUUGGCCAUAAAAUCUGCAACUGAAUUCGCUUCACGAAAGAUGUGAAUGAUGGAGACUUGCCAGUUCCUGUUAAGAAGAUCCCGUACUGCACAACUAAUGCAUAGGAAACAUUAGGAUUCGUCUUUUGCUUUUGCUUUUAACUACCGAUGGAUACUUUAUAUUUUCCGACAAAUUUUUCCCUCGGCGGUGCUUUCACUUCCCGCGAUAAUUCACGAUACGGAGGGAUUUUAUUCUCUUUAGCGGCGAUUUAUUUUUCCUCGGUAAUAACAUGUGGAUUUUUUUAAUUUUACCUACAAACGAUUAACAUCUCUCGAAAAUACAUCUUUUACCUAUGGAAUUUUUCCCUCGAAAAUAAAUUGUGGGAAAUACCCAAUUUUGUUGUAGCGCAACAAGGAGAAAGAGAAGCAAGUUUUGUCAUCAUCGAAAGCCGCAACACAAGCCGCACGCCGCCUCUGUCCGAUAAGCCUCCACAGGCAAUCACUGCAACACCGAACUCGUCACCUCUGCGGCCACCCCCUCGAGUCUGCAACAUCCUCCAUCAAACCAAGCAGUCCCACUCAUACGCUCCUCACACGAACCCCACCGUGUGCAUGAACGCCAAUCAACCUCCAACAACUGCUGCAUGCCGUCACCACCGCUGGAGCCACAGCAACUCACUUCUGCCGUCACCGUCAGCGAUAGUGCUAUCAAACCUUCAUCACUAUUACUGAUUGUCAACGGCUGCCUCGAGCCUUUUCCGCCGCUGCCACCGUUGGAAGUUGGAACAAGACAGCCAUUCCCAGCAAGCAUGUCCAUGGUCAAGGCAAAGUCAAAAUGAGAUGCUUGACAACUGCCAUCGACUUUCGGCAGCUCCUGUUGUUUGAUUUUUCAAAGCAAAGUUUGAUUUUAAUUUUUUAGUUAGAUUUUAAAAAAAAUUUCGUCAAGGUGGAGAAUUGUUGCAAAAUUUAAUACAAUUAAAAUCAAACUUUACUUUGUGGGCACCAAAUUGAAUGCCCAUCAAAGUUGAUUUUUUUGUUUCAAACUUCAAUUUUCCAAUUUGACAAAUUGGCCAAAUUGGAUGUAAUGAUUGGUGAACAAUGCCUAUAAAUAGAGAGGAAAGGUUAGAGCUUUAAUCAUCCCAAUUUUUAGAAUGAGUAAGUGAAGAAAUUUGAGAGUUUUGAGAGAGCUUCUACUUGAGUGCUAGGAGGAUUUAAUUGGGUGUAUUGGGGUUUUGAGUUUUUAGAGUUUUUAGAGUUUUUCCACUUUUGUAAAGCCCCAUUAUCAGUACAAUUAUCUUCCAGUCUUUCCCCGUGGACGUAGGUUUUAGGCCGAACCACGUAAAAUUAUUGCGUCUUUUUUCUUUGCAUUUAUUUAUAUCACGUUUAUAUUUCUCUAGAAAUUACAAUCACCGUAAUAUUGGUAAUUGCUCAACCCGCGCUUCCGCAACAACUCCCACAUGUAAUGUUCCCACAUAUGGUAGCCACAACACCUUUCGGCUGCUUAAGACUUUUUGUCUACCAUGGGCUUAAAGCACAAAAUUCUCACUUGCCCAAAAUGCCCUCACGUGUAAUCAUCCAAGUGCAUGCAACACAUGCACAACUCCUCACACACUCAAGCCUACCUCUUACGCCUUAAUGUUGAGUUCCUGGCUAAUCGGAAUCAACAUGAUCGUCCAACAAAAUCAUUCGUGGAUACUAUUAAUGGGUCCAUUGUCACGACAGUUCCAAUCAAUACCGUCUCUUUAUUUGAGGGUGAGCCUUUCUUGCAAUUUUUGGCUAUGGAAGUUUAAGUGAUAGCCACUUCCUUCAAAUUUUCAUUGGUCGGUAAAUUCUCUUAUAACCGACCUUGCAUGGAAAUUAUUCGCAAUUUUUUUGCAUCUUUGGGAUUGAAGGGAAAUCCGAAGCGUCCCUCCUCGAUAAUUGGCAUAUUUUCAUAAAUCUUGAUUUUGAGGAAGAUUACUCCUGCUUAUGGGUAAAGCAGUCAUGGUAUGUUAAUGGUAGUACCAUAAGAGCAUUUAAAUAGACCACUGAAUGCCCAGUAGUGAAUGCCCAGCAAAUGUCAAAGUAUAAUUAUGAACCAAAUAGACCAAAACUUACUUUUGUUUAAUGAUUUACGAAAUCUAUUUCACUAGAAGGCAUCUCAUUAAUUUCACCUGAUUGUUUAGCAGGUUUAAAACUGAUCUUAUCAAGGCAGAUUUUCACAUUGGCUAACUAAGAAGAAAAAUCGACAUUUAUGAUCCAGCAAAGUUAUGCGGCUAAGCCUAAAAUUCUGCAGCCAACAAAGUUGUAACAAAGCCGCAGCAAAGUUCAUGAUCCAGCAGCAACUUAAAAAUCUUAUAGGAAAAGAAGGGGGGAAAAAAAAGAGAAGUCAAGAAGUCAAUGCAUUUGAAGGCUUUGUAAAGAACAGAUUCUGCCCCCUCCAAAUAAUUUCCAAGUACGACAAGGGUAGCUUGAUGCAGUGAUUGCGGCGAGAUGGCGCACCAGCAGCGACGGAGAUUGAGAUGAAGCAGCAACGACACCAGAGAUGAAGUGCAGCAACCGAGAUGGGCACACUGAGAGAGAGCAGAUCUGGAGAGAAAAGGAUACAUAGCUCGUUGUUGUGUGUAGAUCGGCAAAGAUAAAGAGAGAGAGAGCUUCGUUGUGAGCAGAUUAGGAAAAGAGAGAGAGAGAGUUCUGUGAGUCACCUUCGUUUCGAGUAGAUCAGGAAAUGAGGGAGAGAGUGCAUUGUGAGUUGUUCGUGAACGAGAUUUUUUGUGCCCAGGUCAAAAGAAAGGAAAGGAAAAUGCGUUAAACGCACCAUUUUCAAUUUAAUCAAAACGAUGCGUUUUAAAUUCGGGGCGCAAUUCGGGGUUAAAUUCAGGAGAAAUAGCAGCGCUCUAGAUUACAAUAUAAGAACGGUAGUUGGUAGACAUAUUUUACUCUUAUAAUCGGUUUUCGAACAAUUAUUAACAUGCAUUGUGAGGGUUAAAUGUUCUUAAUAUUUAUAAAUCCUUCCCCCUUGCGAAAUGCGAGUGGAGCAUGGACAUCCCUCUUCUGUGAGGGAUUAUUUGUCUGGGCCUUACUAAAGAGAUUGAUAGUUGAAUGAACUUCCCACUUGUUCCAUUAGGAUCAAAGCGUAUAAAUAAUACAAUGAAUCAAAACUAACUUCCUCCUAUAUUUCAGCAAUAAUCAAGCUGACCUAUUCUUAAGAUAACAGAAAUAUUAUCAGGAUUACAUUCAAAAAACAAAAGAAUCUAGUUUGAAUUUAAGAGGCUGUUAUACACUAGCAGGUGGGACAGCUUUUAUAUGCCCCCUCAAGAUAGGCCACGAGUAGAGAGGCCAAUCUUGUCCCGUAAAAGCAAGAACUGAGAAGUGGGCAGUGGCUUGGUGAGAAGAUCGGCAAGCUGAUCAGCAGAGAAGACAUGAGCUACUCGAAGUAGACCAGAUUGAACUUGAUCUCUGAUAAAAUGAUAAUCAACAGCAACAUGUUUCAUGCGAGAGUGAAAAAUAGGAUUGGAACUUAACUGGGUAGCACCAACAUUAUCACAAUAGACCACUAGAGAAUUUGUUAAGCCAAUACCAAGCUUUGAAAGAAGAGAGCAAACCCAGCGAAGUUCAGCAGCAGUGGCAGCAAUAGAACGAUACUCUGCUUCGGUGGACGAACGAGCAACAGUUUGUUGCUUCUUCGAACUCCAAGAGACAAGGUUCCGCCCAAGGUAAACAAGAUAAGCGCUGGUGGAAGAGUAAUAGAGAGCUUCGUUGUGAGCAGAUUAGGAAAAGAGAGAGAGAGAGUUCUGUGAGUCACCUUCGUUUCGAGUAGAUCAGGAAAUGAGGGAGAGAGUGCAUUGUGAGUUGUUCGUGAACGAGAUUUUUUGUGCCCAGGUCAAAAGAAAGGAAAGGAAAAUGCGUUAAACGCACCAUUUUCAAUUUAAUCAAAACGAUGCGUUUUAAAUUCGGGGCGCAAUUCGGGGUUAAAUUCAGGAGAAAUAGCAGCGCUCUAGAUUACAAUAUAAGAACGGUAGUUGGUAGACAUAUUUUACUCUUAUAAUCGGUUUUCGAACAAUUAUUAACAUGCAUUGUGAGGGUUAAAUGUUCUUAAUAUUUAUAAAUCCUUCCCCCUUGCGAAAUGCGAGUGGAGCAUGGACAUCCCUCUUCUGUGAGGGAUUAUUUGUCUGGGCCUUACUAAAGAGAUUGAUAGUUGAAUGAACUUCCCACUUGUUCCAUUAGGAUCAAAGCGUAUAAAUAAUACAAUGAAUCAAAACUAACUUCCUCCUAUAUUUCAGCAAUAAUCAAGCUGACCUAUUCUUAAGAUAACAGAAAUAUUAUCAGGAUUACAUUCAAAAAACAAAAGAAUCUAGUUUGAAUUUAAGAGGCUGUUAUACACUAGCAGGUGGGACAGCUUUUAUAUGCCCCCUCAAGAUAGGCCACGAGUAGAGAGGCCAAUCUUGUCCCGUAAAAGCAAGAACUGAGAAGUGGGCAGUGGCUUGGUGAGAAGAUCUGCAAGCUGAUCAGCAGAGGAGACAUGAGCUACUCGAAGUAGACCAGAUUGAACUUGAUCUCUGAUAAAAUGAUAAUCAACAGCAACAUGUUUCAUGCGAGAGUGAAAAAUAGGAUUGGAACUUAACUGGGUAGCACCAACAUUAUCACAAUAGACUACUGGAGAAUUUGGUAAGUCAAUACCAAGCUCUGAAAUAAGAGAGCAAACCCAGCGAAGUUCAGCAGCAGUGGCAGCAAUAGAACGAUACUCUGCUUCGGUGGACGAACGAGCAACAGUUUGUUGCUUCUUCGAACUCCAAGAGACAAGGUUCCGCCCAAGGUAAACAAGAUAAGCGCUGGUGGAAGAGUAAUUGUCUUUAUUACCAGCCCAAUCGGCAUCUGAAAAGGCAUGAAGUGAAUCAGAGAAGCCAUGAAGAGUGAGGGGAGAAUUACGAUAGAGAAGAAGUCCCUUGUCUAGGGUGCCACUCAAAUAACGUAAUAUACGCUUAACAAGAACCCAAUGCUCUGUGGUAGGUUGAUGCAUAAAUUGGGCCAUUCUAUUAACUACAAACGAGAUGUCUGGGCGUGUUAAGGAAAAAUACUGCAGGCUACCAACUGCUGCACGAUAUGGUGUGGGGUCUGAGAGAGGUGUGCCUGAGGUUAAGGAGAGGGCUGCUGAGCUGGUUGGUAGGGGAGUGAGAACAGGUUUUGCAUUAUCCAUAUUGGUUCGUUUGAGUAAGUCCUCAAUGUAUCUUCUUUGGGAGAGCAGAAUGCCAAGGCGGUGAGGAACAACUUCAACUCCAAGAAAAUAAGAGAGUGAACCAAGAUCUUUAAGAGAGAAACGUUGAGCAAGACAGUCAACAAACUGUGAAACAAAAGCAUCAUUACUGCCAGUUACGAUAAUAUCGUCAACAUACAUAAGAAAAUACAGAACAUGAUGGCUGCUGCGAAGAACAAAAAGAGAUGUAUCUAAAUGUGAAUUUUUGAAGCCAGAAGCUAGUAGAAACUGACGCAAUUCAUGAUACCAAGCCCGGGGAGCUUGUUUGAGACCAUAGAUGGCUUUGUGAAGCUUACAGACAUAUGAAGGAUGAUCACGGUCCACAAAACCUGGUGGUUGAGCCAUAAAAACAUUUUCGGAGAGCUUGCCUUGAAGAAAGGCAUUGUUGACAUCCAAUUGACGGAGAGACCAGCCAUUAUUUACUGCUAUACUCAGCACAAGUCGCACUGUGGUAGGCUUGACAACUGGAUUGAAAGUUUCAUGAUAGUCCACACCCGGUCUUUGAUGAAAUCCCUUGGCUACAAGACGAGCUUUGAACCUGUCAAUAGAACCAUCAGAGUGUCGUCUAAUUCGAAAAAUCCAUUUGCAACCAACCAUAUUAGAAAUGCCAUCAGAGGGAACUAGUUCCCAGGUUCCAUUACGGACAAGGGCAUCAUACUCUUCCGACAUAGCUUGAUGCCAAUUAUGGUCUUGGAGAGCUUGUGAUAUGGAUGUAGGAGCAGCAUGUUGGGAAGUUGAUUUAUGGGUGUGAAGGUUGAGUUUUUGAAUCGGUUUAGUGAUGUUAUUCUUGGCUCGGGUAGUCAUGCUGUGUUGAGAGGGGGGUGGAACUGGUAUGUCUGGUUCGAUGGUUGGCUGGGAAGGUGGAGGAGAUGGUUGGCGGGCAAGUGGAGCUUAUUAUGGGGAUGGGUCAACUGGUUGCGAAGUAGCCUCAGGCAGAGAUAAUCCUUGAGAGCUAGCUGCAGAUGAAGUGUUGGCUGCCUGCUGGAGUGAUGUGGGAAUGGACACAGUAAGUACAGGAGGAAUCCAAGUGGAUAUGGUAGUGGAAGUAGGACGUGGAAGAGUGGUGUGCAGUGAGGUGUAUGGAAAGACUGAUUCAACAAAUUGAACAUGGCAAGAAACAUAGAUUUUUGAGGUAGAUGGUUCAAGGCAGAGAUAAGCACUUUGAGACAAAGAGUACCCAAGAAACACACAAGGGUUAGAUCGUGGAUUAAGUUUAUGUGAGGUAUAUGGGCGAAGCCAAGGAUAACACAAACACCCGAAAGCUUUUAGUUUAGAGUAAUUGGGACUUUUGUGGAAAAUUAAUUCAUAGGGGGAGGAUAAAUUUAGAGUGGUGGUUGGGAGCCUGUUAAUGAGGUAGACAACAGUAGCAAAGGCGUGAGGCCAGAAGGUGAGUGGAAGUGAAGCAUGGGAGAGUAAAGUAAGGCCAGUUUCCACGAUAUGGCGAUGUCUUCGUUCAGAGUAGCCAUUGUGUUCAGGUGUAUGUGGUGGAGUGGUUAAGUGGGAAAUGCCGUGGAGGGAAAGAUAGUCUUUGAGUGCCAUAUAUUCGCCCCCAUUAUCAGAGUAGAGAGUGAUAAUUUUUUUUGAAAAAUAAUUUUCCACAAUGGCUUUGUAACGUUUAAAGACUUCUUGAACUUCAGAUUUUCUUUUGAGGGGGUAUAACCAUAUGUAUUUUGUGAAAUGAUCAACAAAAAUAACAUAAUAUUUGAAACCAUCUUGUGACAAAAUUGGAGAAGUCCACACAUCAGAAAAAAUUAUUUCAAGUGGCUGUGUUGAGUGAAGAGAUGAAAUGGAGAAAGGCAACUUAUGACUUUUAUUGCUAAGACAAGCAUUACAGGAAAAUUCUUUUGAUAAAGGUGAAGAGGAAUCUAACUGAUAACUAGAAAUAAUGUGUUUUAAAAUGGGAAAAGCUGGAUGGCCUAAGCGAUGAUGCCAAGUUGAUGAUGUGGUUUUGACGUGAGAGAAGGCUAGAAUUGGGGAAGAUCCAGGUUGUGCAGCUGGCCACUCAUACACUCCAUCUUUAGUGUUGUCCGUCAAAAGAAUUGUCCCCGUACGAAGAUCCUUCACAUGAAAAGAAAAUGGUAAAAAUUCAACAGAGGCAUUAUUAGAGAUGCAAAAUUGAGAGAUAGAAAUUAAGUUUUUUUUCAUGGUCGGUACACAGAGAACAUCAUUCAAGGUAAAAGUGGUGGUUCUUGUUGGAAGAGAAGCAGAACCGGUGUGAGAUAUAGAUAAACCUGUACCAUCGCCGAUCAUAACAUCAUCUGAUCCGGUGUAUGGUGCAUGAAGAGACAAGUUGUUUAAGUCGGUAGUGAUAUGAUGAGAGGCUCCACUAUCUAGCAGCCAUGAUGGAUUGUUGGUGGUAGCAUUGGCAGCAUAGUGAGCCCGUGGCUGCCAAUGUGUGGCAGAGUUAGUUGUUGGUGGAGCACUUGCAAUGGAUGGUUGGAUUGGUACAAGCUGAAAAAAUGGACAGCGUUUGGCGGUGUGACCUUGAAUGCCACAGAUUUGGCAAUAUCCCUGGUAUGGACGGGGUGGAGGGCGAUUGCUUCGAAUUGAAGUACCUGAGUUGGUGGCCAUAGGAGGAUAGCCAGGGUUGGUUGCAGGUGGAUGCCAGCCUGUGUUACCCGAAGAUGAUGAGUUGUUGGGACGCCAGUUUGGAUUGGUCUUGUGUGGCCGCCAGUUGGUGUUUAUGGGAGUGGUCUUGUGUGUAGGAUUGGCAGUAAUGGGAAGGUGUAUCUCAGAUUUGGUGGUGGCUGAGAGAGUGGCUUCAAAGGUUAAAAGUUUCUCAUGAAGUUCAUCAAAGGAUAUGGAGGUGUCGUGGGCUUGAACGGCACGGACAAGCUCUUUGUAGUCAUCACCUAGUCCAUCCAAGAUCUUCUCUAUUAGAUCUUCUUCCUCCAUUGGUGCACCUAGUAUGGCCAGUUCAUCUGUACGGGCUUUGACAGAGUGAAGAAAAUCAGUGACUGUCAUUGUGCCUUUAGUGGGAUUUUUGAGAAGGUUCUUGACUUGUUUGAUGCGACCACGGGAUGGUUUGGCAUAGGUAUUUGCUAGAACAGUCCAUGCUUCCCGUGAGGUAUUGGCACGAGCAAUAAAUGAAAUGAUGGUGGGUGAGAGAGAACCUAUGAGAGCAUUUAGGAUUAAUUGGUCUUGGCGAAUCCAGAGGGUGUAGGCAGGAUUUGGUGUGGCAACAUUGUUUGUAGUUAGAGUUUGGGGUGGACAUGGUUUGGAACCAUCAAUGUAGCCAAGCAGAUCAUAGCCAAUGAAAAGUGUUUCAAAUUGAAUUUUCCAGGAGAGAUAGUUGGAGGAGGUGAGUUUGAGAGGAGCUUGUGCAGCUGUGUUGAUUGUGAGGAGUUGAGAUUCAUUGGUAGUUGGGAGAAUAGAUGUGCCGUUUGGAUUAGUCAUCACGGGAUGUGACAGGGAAAAGAGAAAGAAAUAUUAGCAGGGAAAGAGGGGCUGCUCUGAUACCAUAAAGAGAUUGAUAGUUGAAUGAACUUCCCACUUGUUCCAUUAGGAUCAAAGCGUAUAAAUAAUACAAUGAAUCAAAACUAACUUCCUCUUAUAUUUCAGCAAUAAUCAAGCUGACCUAUUCUUAAGAUAACAGAAAUAUUAUCAGGAUUACAUUCAAAAAACAAAAGAAUCUAGUUUGAAUUGAAGAGGCUGUUAUACACUAGCAGGUGGGACAACUUUUAUACUUACUUCACAAAAUUCAAUGUAAUAAUGCAAGUUCCAAUUAUGUAUAUUUGAUUGUAAAUAUCAGUGUAAUAUAUCUGCUAUAAUAACAGUUGUUGUAAAUAUCUGUGUAAUGCAGUAAUCUGAUGUGUAAUCAGUAUUUAAAAAAAAAGGCGGUUACGAAAGGUAAUGUUCACAUAGCACCCUUACUUUUAACUUAAUUUCAAAAUAAUCAAUUCAAACUAGAAAACUAUCAAAGAUCCCCUUCAACUUUGCAUGAAAAAUAUGCUUAAAUUAUGUAAUUUCUAAGCUAGUGAGAAUAAUAUUUAUAUUAAAGUAAAUUUAUAUAUUAAAGUAAAUCAUAAAUUAAUUAUAUUAUUUUUAAUACAACAUUAUAAGUCUUUUUUUAGAAAUUAUUUAAUUUUUUUAUUAAUUGUAUAAUAUUAAAAUUCAGUUCGAAUGUUUAGACCAAACUAAAUCGUAUUACUCCUAAAUAUUUGAAAAGAAAAAACUCAUAAUGCCCAUUGAGGAAACCCCUACUUGCUAAUAUAGAAAGUAAAAUAAUUUUCCGUCCAACUAUUGGAUAGUUUUCAAAUAAAUGUAUUUUUGAUAAUACCAAGCUACAUAAUUGCCAAUAAAAUAUUAUUAGUACUAACAGCUAAUAAUAAUAGUACAAUUAGAUCAUUGUAUAAGGACACCAUGAAAUAUCUAAAUAUUUGAAUAAUACUCAUGAAUAAUCUUAUGUAAAUUACUCCAUGCAAAUAUAUAUGAAAUUAAGUAAAUUAUUGCAUCUAGCAUACCAUAAUUGUUUCUUCGUGCUAUAUUAUUUUUAUGUUUACAUUUAUUCAAUAUUUUCAAGCCACAACAAUUUCUAUAAAUAGUUGUAAUAGACAUUUAUAUAUGUAAUGUUAAUAUUUGAUCUUGAUUUAUUAGUGUGCUCAUGAUUAAUGAAAUUAUAACACAACUUUAUUGUUGACGUUAUUAAUAGCUAUCAUUGAUAGCCAUUACUAUCAUUAUUAUUAUUAGAUUUAGAAGCUGCUAGAGUCAAAAUAUAAUUCUGUAACCACAACAUCCUCUAGAAUUCGAGUGAUAGCCAAACAGAAAGGACAAUGUUGCCCAUCGUCAAUUUGAUUAAAUUGAACUCAAUUAUGAUACUUAUUUCAAUUCUAUAAAUUAUUUUAUCAGACUGUGUGCAAUUGUGUACAGUAUGGUCUAUAUAUAAAAUUAUUUUCCUAUUAUUUUUUUUAAGAAGACAAUGAGUGUGUGCAAUUGUGUACAGUAUGGUCUAUAUAUAAAAUUAUUUUCCUAUUAAUUUUUUUUAAGAAGACAAUGAGUUUAAAUUCAACUAUAAUACUUAUUAUUAAUUUGCUUAAAUUGAACUCAACUAUGAUACUUAUUAUCAAUUUUAUAAAUUAUUUUAUCAGAAUGUGUAAUUGUGUACAGUGUAGUCUACACACAAAAUUAUUUUCCUAUUAUUUUUUUUACUAAGACAAUGAUUUUGUUAGUUAUCAUCUCAAUUCUCAUUAACCAAAUUCUAUUACGUAACUAGCAAUAUAAUAUAGAUAAUUAUAAAUUCACUAUACCUGAGUAAUAUCCAUAUUUAAAAAAAGAAACAUUGAAUAAUAUUAUUUUUUAUAUUUUAUAAUUAUAUAAUCUAGACAUGGUAGUUACAUGUUCAGAUUUAUAUCAAAUUAAUUUGUGUAGUACCGCACAACAGAGGUGGUUACGUGAAAUAUAUAUACUAACUAGGAAAUAGAACCGCACUUCAUGCAGUUUUAAAAAAAGAAUUUAAUAUUAUCUUUUUUAUUAUUUUGCACUCGAUGAAACUGAUAAAAAAUAUGAAUUAUUAUUUUUAAAUAUGACGUAGCCUUAUAAAGCUAAUGUUAUUUAUGAAAGUUUAUUAUUUUUUUGUUAACAUUAAAAAAAUAUAUUAAUGUGUAUAAUUAAGUGUACACAACCUUUUCAUCAAUAACAAUCAUGUUCACAGUCAUCAACUCUCUAUUUUUCUUGGUAUUAACAGACUCCCACAUCUUACAAAGUCUAACCCUUAUCAUCCAACUAUCUUUAUUAUUGUUUAAUUCAUGAAGAAAAGAAUACUCCAUGAAGCACACAAUACUAAAAAUUUAAAUAAGUUAAAAAAUAAAAACACAAUAACAUUUCUAAAGAGGAUGUUGGUUAAAUAAUAAAAAAAAAAACUCAAACAUAACAAAACUUAAAUGCUUAAUAUUUAUAGAGUUUGAAGAAGUCAAAAGACACUAAAUAAAAAGUUGCAUACAUCAUACUCAUCUCAAAUUCUUUGCUCAUACACGAUGAAAAUUCUUUACAUAACAACUCAUUAGUAGAACCAAAAAUAAUAUCAUCAACAUAAAUUUGAACAAUAAGUACUGCUGUACCGUACCUAAUGGCAUUGGUGAGGGAAGAUGAAGGAAUCUUCCUUCUUAUAUUAAUUAGUUGAUGUAUUUCAAACCACUAAAAUUUAGUUGUUGGCUUAAUAAAAUAAAUGAAUGUUUCAAAACUUAUAAUUAAUUUAUUAUUAAUGGUUACAUAUUGUUGAAUUUCAAUAGAAAGAGGAAGAGACAUGCAAUCUUUUGUAAUCUAUUAAUUAUUUUCUAUUUUUAAUAUUUUGAAAUGUAAUUAUUUUUUAAUCUCAACCAAUAUAUUAGAUAAUAGAGAAUAAAAAAAGAUGAGAAAUAAUGAUGCCAUAAAUCUUAACUACUUAAUAUUUAUAGAGUCUGAAGAAGCCAAAAGGUACUAAACAAAAGAUUGAAUAAUUAAAUAUGAGAUUAUGACAUUAAAAUUAGGCUUUAAUGGCAUUGUUGAGGGAAGAUGAAGGAACCUUCCUUCCUAUAUUAAUUAAUUGAUAUAUUUAAGCCACUAAAGUUUAAUUGUUGGCAUAAUAAAAUAAAUAAACGUUUCAAGAUUUAUAAUUAAUUAUUAUUAAUGGCUACAUAUUAUUGAAUUUAAAUAGAAAGAGGAAGAGACAUGUAAUCUUUUAUAAUCUAAUAAUUAUUUUUUAUUUUUAAUAUUUUGUAAUGUAAUUAUUUUUUUAAUAUCAACCAAUUUAUUAGAUAAUAGAGAAUACAAGAAGAUGAGAAAUAGUGAUGCUACAUCUCCUCUUGUCCCAACUUUAUAUAUAUAUAUAUAUAGAGAUAGAUAGAUUUAGAUUUUUAAUAUUUUGUAAUGUAAUUAUUUUUUAAUCUCAACCAAUAUAUUAGAUAAUAGAGAAUAAAAAAAGAUGAGAAAUAAUGAUGCCAUAAAUCUUAACUACUUAAUAUUUAUAGAGUCUGAAGAAGCCAAAAGGUACUAAACAAAAGAUUGAAUAAUUAAAUAUGAGAUUAUGACAUUAAAAUUAGGNNNNUUAUUAUUAAUGGUUACAUAUUGUUGAAUUUAAAUAGAAAGAGGAAAAGACAUGUAAUCAUUUAUAAUCUAAUAAUUAUUUUCUAUUUUAAUAUUUUAUAAUGUAAUUAUUUUUUAGCAGCAACAAAUUUAUUAUAUAAUUAUAUAUUAACUGAUAUCUUUAUUAUUAAUAUAUUUUUUUAUCUUUAUUUUUUUUAGUGUCAUAUUAUGAUAUAUAUACAAAGAAUAUCCACCAAUAUUUUAGAUAUUUUAGAUAAUAGAGAAUAUAAAAAGAUGAGGUUGAGGGAAGAUGAAAGAACCUCUCUUCCUAUGUUAAUUAGGUGAUAUAUUUUAAGGCACUAAAGUUUAAUUGAUAGCAUAAUAAAUUUUGAAGAAGCCAAAAGACACUCAACAAAAGGUUGCAUAAUUAAAUAUGGCAUUAUGACAUUAAAAUUAGGCCUUAGUGGCAUUGUUGAGGGAAAAUGAAAGAACCUCUCUUCCUAUGUUAAUUAAUUCAUGUAUUUUAAGCCACUAAAGUUUAAUUGGUAGCAUAAUAAAAUAAAUAAAUGUUUCAAAAGACUUAUAAUUAACUAUUAUUAAUUAUUACAAAUUGUUGAAUUUAAAUAGAAAGAGAAAAAAAAGUACAAAGAAUAUCUACCAAUAUUUUAGAUAAUAGAAAAUAUAAAAAGAUGAUGAAUGAUAUAUAUUAAUAAAGUUACUGUUUAUUAAAUAAGUUAAAUAAAUAUAAUGAAAUUAAUUAUGAGAAGAUGAAAAGCCAAAUCUAAAAAAAAAUUCUCUAUUUAUUAGAUAAUAGAGAAUAUACAAAGAAGUGAAAUGGUGAUGCCACAUCACCUCCUCAAGUCCCAACUUUAUAUAUAUAUAUAGAUAGAUAGAUAGAUAUAGAUAGAUAGAUAGAUAGAUGGAUGGAUGCGCAAUUCAUUGUUAGCAUUGUAAAACUUGUUCAUUAGUAAUGCAUAAUAAAUGAAUUGUCAAUGAAAUAUAGCUGUUUAAAAAUAAGUGUUAUAAACAUAAAUUUAUUGUUAAUAAGUAAAAUAAAAUAUAAUAAAAUGACUCUUUUUUAUUUGGGAUAAGGGUCAUUUUUCAAGACAUUGUUACCAAUAGCCAAUGCCCAGUUUAGGUACAACAGAAAUACAUCAACAUCAUCCAAAAAAAAUUUCAUUUUAUUGUUCAUUAUCAACUAAUUCAGCUGAAAUCCUAUGCCUACCAGAUCUACAGCUUCAUAUUGAGGACCUUUAAUUUUGUUAUUCCCAAAUAAAGUUUUAUGCUUUUAGGUUAAUUAUUUGCUUAAUGGGGCUUUUCAUUGGAUUUUUAGGCUGUUGUGGGUAUGAUAAGCAAAAAGUAAAGGUGCAUUAUGCACUUUCUUUUUCUUCUAUGUCCGGUAAUGUAUAUUUUUUUCCUAUGAUAUAUGAACUUUCAAAUUGUAUUGAUAACAGGUGAAAAAAUAAAAUUCAUGGCUUAUUACUUGAUUCUUUUUGUGUGUAUGUCAAUACGAGUAUACGACAUGUCAAAUCUACGUAUUUGGAAUGGACGGAAUAGUGAGUUAUAACAAUGUUUGAGCUGUUUCAAAUAUUUUAUAAAAGCUAUUACCAAUUUUCUUCGCUAGAGUUCAUGAAUGCAAUUCACUAAUCCUUUCACUGUAUCAACUUUAGAGAUGUUGUUAAUUUGUUCCCAAUAUGUUUAAUUCAUUUGAAAAAAAAUUCAAUGUUUAUUAUAUUUGGCUGGUGAAUUCCUGAGCAUUCUUCUUCUUCUUCUUCUUCUUCUUCUUUUUUUUCUUUUAUACUCUAGAACAGUUUUGCCUUCCUGUAGUCAGAUGUUCAGUGUUAUGACCUGUCAUAAUAAUAACAGAAUUGUUUUUUUUUUUUUUUUUAGCUGAUUUUGCAGAGCAUGGAGAAACUUUCCAAUUUAUUGCCUAAUUGGAAAGUCUUCUAUGAAACUAGGUGAAAAUUGUUUAAUUGCAGAGCAUGGUGAUAAAUUGUCCUUGUGCUGACUAUAUGGCGAAAAUUUUAUGUGUAAACAAAUGCCAAAAAUCAAUGAGUAGAAAUUAGUUUGAGAUGAAAAUUGUUUAAUUGCAAAGCAUGGUGAUUAAUGUUGCUGUGCUGACUAUAUAGUGAAAUUUUUAUUCGUAAACAAAUGCCAACAAAUCAGUAAGUAGAAAUAAUUUUGUAAGGUAAUGGGAUUAGGUUUUGGAGUAUUUUUUUCCCCAUUUUCAAACCAUGCAGGUUGGCUUUUCCAUUUGCUGUGUAGAAUAAAUGCAUUGUUGGCUGGAACUCGGUAUUUCACAGUCUAGGCUGCGUGAAUGCUGGUUCAAAAGAGAAGCAAGAUUUAUAACACUAUAUUUUAUAGAAGGAAAAUAGGACUUCAUUGUUUUAUUUAUUUUUUAUUUGCUAAUUGCAAAAUUGCCAUUUAAGAGAAGGGUAUUGCUUUUAGGUUGAAUCUGUUUAUAAAGUUGAAAGAUAUUUGGAAUUCUAUAUUUCUUCGUGUUGUUUAUUUAUAAAACUUUGUUUAGUUUAAUCCCUAAAUUUUUUAAAUCAUUUCUUGCUAAUUUUUCUUGUUUCCUUUGCUUAGUAACCUUUUUGAAAAUUGGUGUCAGUAAAUCUUAAUUCUUAAGAUUUUAGGGAGAAAAAGAAGCUGGAUUACUCAGCUUAUAUGUUUCUAAAAUUUCCUCAGUCUUGUAUUCAUGUAUAAUUUUAGCUACCCUGCAUAUAAUUUUAGUGGCAGUUGGUAAUUUGUUGUCAUAAUAUGAUUUCUUUUUUCUUUUCAGGGCCAUUGGGCAUUCUGCAAGUCGGGAUAAAUUAUCUUGUUAUUUCGUAUCGGGGUAAAAGCUCGUUUAGUCCCUAUAUUUUGAGGUUAGUGUCCGUUUAAUCCUUAUAUUUUUUAAAAUACCUCAAAGCAUCCCUAUCAUUAAAUUAUUGACAUCAUUGCCAUUACCUUUUGUUCAUUUUAACUUAUUUUUAUAAUAUUAUUCUAUUACAAUAAUGUUCCUUUUUAUAAACAUUAUUAAAAAGAAAAAUUAAAUUACCAGUUUAACACCAAAAAAUAAAAUAAAAACAAUAUAUAUAUAAAAAAUUUUGUGGAACACUCUGCUGAGAAGUUAAAAUAUUAAUUUUUAAAAAAUUUGAUAAUUUAAUUUUUUACAAAAUUAAUUUUUUUGGACACACAUGAGCUUCCACAAAAAUUAAUAUAUAUCUUUUUUGUUUUUUAUUUUAUUUUUGGGUUUAAUUUGAUAAUCCAAUUUUUUUUAUUAAUAUCUAAAAAAUAAACAUUACAGUAAGAGUGUAAAAUUGUAAAAACAUACUAAAAAUAAUAAUAAUGGCAUAAGUGUCAAUAUUUAAUAAUAAGGACGUUUUGAUAUAUUAUUUAAAAUAUAGGAUUAAAUGGGCACUAAACUCAUAAUAUAGGGACUAAACAAGCUUUUACCCUUUCCUAUCGUAUUGUUUCCUCUUGAAAUAAUUACAGUAUGGAUGUGGUAAAAAUUGCAAUUCAGCUGUCAGUGCUCCGAAUUUUUCCUUUUUCUCUUUACUUUUGUUGGUGAGGAUUUUAUCCUUCACUUCAUUUGAGAUGAAAGUACUGGUUGAACUCUUGAACUUUCUAUUAGUCGAUUAAUUGUGGAUUGACAGUGCUAAGCGCUUAAUUCUGGAUUUCUUUGUUGAUUUGAAUGUGAUUUCAGUUGCAAUUCUUUAUUUUGUAUUGCAAAAUUAUCAAAUUUUUACAAAAAUAAAUGUGAUAACACUUUUACUAAAAAGAUUAUUAACUUUGUUGAAGAGUAUGGUUAUUAUGCAUUUUCAGAAUUUAUACUAGGAUUCUCAUUAUUCAAAAAAUGUUGGUAAUUAAUUUUAACAAUGUAAAUGAUAAAUGAGCAUAGCAUCAUAUUUUUUAGAAAACAUACAUAAUAAUGCUCAUUGUAAACCCAAAAUUUAUAUAUAUAUAUAUAGCUAACUAAUUAUAAUAUUUUAAAUGAUAAAUGACCAUAAAUAUGUGCAAAGUCGAUACUUAAGUAUGGAUGAUCAAAUCUCUUAAAGUAAUGAACAUAGAUAUCUUUUAAAAAAAAGCUAUUUCAACACUAGUUCUUAAGUUUUGUAACUCAUAUAAAUAUAAAUUGUGUAAUGAAAAUGUUAUUAAUAUUUUUUGUAAUCUAAUAAUAUUUCAAAAGUAGUGUAGGGCAUAUAUAUCUUUAUUUACAUUUAACUAUAAAUCUCAAGUGUAUGAUGAUGAUGAUGAGAAUGGUAGUAGUAGUAAAAAUAAAUAAUAGUAGAAGUAAUAAUACAAGUAAAAUAUUAGGCUUGUCUUGAUUAAAACAAAAAAAUACAAACAUAAAUAUAAUAAUAAUACUUAUAAUAACAUGAAUUUUUGGUUAAAGUGAUCAAAACUUAAUGAAACUAUUUUGAAAAGAAAAUAGAGUGGAAAAAUUUUUAUAUGAAUUCAAAAAAAAAAUUCUGAAAGCAAAUGAUAAAUUCAAUAAAAGGAAUAAGUAUGGAUCUCAAAAUUAACUUGAAAUAUACACUUCAAAUGUUGGAAUUCACUAAAAAGAGUAGGAAUAUAAAACAAACAAAUGAUGAAAACAAAAGUAGAAGAGUCAACUAAAGAAGUUGGAAAGGCUUAACAAGAAUUUGAUAAAUUACAUACGGAUCUAAAAAAUCGACUUAGAACAUCUCCGCAAAAUGUUGGAACUUAAUGAACAUAGUAGGAAUUUGUAAAAAAAGAAAUGGUGAUAAAAUUCAUGACCAUAUCUCUUGAAGUAAUGAAUUUCGGUAUCAAUUAAAUAAAGAUAUUUUUGCACUGGUUUUUAAUUUUGUAACUUAUAAAAUCAGUAUUGAUAGCUUAAUAAUAUAAAAAUAGUCCAAAAAUAGCAAUAGGCUUUAUUGUUUAUUUUUCAAGUUUAUAUUGUAAGUUGAUAUUUGUAAAAAUAAGAGGGGAUCACUCAAAAUUUACCUCAAUAUCAUAAUCAUUUACUGUAAAAAAAUGAGACUUGAAACAACUACCUAGAAUGUUGGUAUGCAGUGAAAACAAAUGGAAUAUACAAAUAAAUAAAAAAGGUGGAAAUAAGAGUUGAAGAACUUAACCUAAUUGAGACGAUUUAUCAAUAAUUUGAUAAAUUUCAAUAGGAAGUAAAAAUCUAAAAAAUGAACUCAAAAUAUUGACCUAAAUGUUGGAAUUCAACAACAAGUGUGGGCAUAUAGAACCAAAUAAUGGUAGGACAAAAGUGGUAGAGUCAACCCAAAAGUUGGAAUUACUAAAUGAUAAUUUGAUAAAUUCCAACAACAAAUAAGGAUCUAAAAAAUAAACUUGAAAUUUCUCCAAAAAAAUAUUGGAAUUCAUUGAAACAAAAGCUAGAAUAUAGAACCAAUGAAUAGUGGAAAAAGAAUUGAUGAAUUCAACCCAAAAAUUGUAAACGACUUAUUAGGAAUUUGAUAAAUUCCAAUGGCAAGUAGGAAUUUAAAAAAUAAACUUGAAAUUUUUACCCAAAAUAUUAGAAUUCAAUAAAAAGAUUAGAAAUAUAGAACCAAAAAGUAGUGGAAAGAAAAACCUAACCCAAAAUUGGGAACUACUCCCAAAGAAUUUGAUUAAUUCCAAUUAGAAGUGGGGAUCCAAAAGUAAACUUAAAACUUCCACCUAAAAUAUUGAAAUCAAUAAAAAGAGUAUGAAUAUAAAAUCAAAAGAUGGUGGAAAUAAGGGUUAAAGAAUUUAACUAAAAGUGGGAACAACUCACCAAGAAUUUAAGAAAUUUCAAUGUGAUGUAGGGAUCUAAAAAGUGAACUUGAAACAUUCGCUCAAAAUAUUGGAAUUUGAUGAAGAAGAGUAGAAAUAAAAAAUUAAAAAGUGAUGGGAACAAAAGUUAAAGAGCUUAACCUAAAAGUUGGAAUAAUUUACUAAGAAUACAAUAAAUUUUAAUGAGAAGUAGGGAUCUAAAAAACGAACUUGAAAUUUUCACCUAAAAUGUUGGAACUCAAUAAAAAAAAAAAGAAAUAGGAAAAUAGAACCCAAAAGUGGUGGGAACAAGAGUUGAUGAACUUAACACAAAAAUUAAAAUAACUUACUAAUAAUUUGAUAAAUACUGACGAGAAAUAGGGGUAUAAAAAUGAACUUGAAACUCCCACCCAAAAUGUUAGAAUUUUGUAAAAAGAAUAGGAGUAUAGAAUUUAUAAGUAGUGGAAAAAUGAGUUGAUGGACUUAACCCAAAAGUUAGAAUAACUUACAACAAAUUUGAUAAAUAUCAAUGCUUAGUAGAGAUCUAAAAAGUGAACUAUAAACAUUUCUCCAAAAAAUUGAAACUCAGUGAAGAUAAUAGGAUAACUCAAAAGUUGUGGGAAAAUGAGUAGGAAUAACUUACGAAAAAUUAGAUAAAUUCUAACAUAGCUUAGAGAUAUAGAAAGUAAACUUGGAAUACCUACAUAAAAAGUUAGAAUUUAAUGAAAAGAGUGGAAAUAUAAGGAAAAAAGCUGGUGAGAAUAUGAGUUGAAACAACUUACUAAAAUUUAAAUAAAUUAUAACAAGAAGUAGGAACUUGAAAAGUAAACUUGAGAUAUACAAUAUAAAUAUUAGAAUUAAAAAAAAUAAAUAAGAACUUGACUAUUUUGUAGCAUAUUCAUAGUAUUUUUAUAAGUUUUUGUGCUAUUUAUAAAUUUAAGGUUACUAGAUUGUUUUGCCUCAUAUAAGUGCAAUUUUUCACUUUUCCCCCCAUUUUUUAAUAAAAUUUUCACAUUAAAACAAAUAAAAUGUAAUUUUUUAAUCAAUUUGUUUCGAGAAUUCCUCAAUGGCUGACCCGCUGUUAUCUCUCGCCAUCUCAAAAAAAAAUUUUAAGGCACCUUGGAUGGUUCAUAGUCAUUGGCCCAAUUGUCGUGUAAUGAUUUCACACGUCCUUCAAUUACACUCCGUUUAUCGUGCAGACAAUCCGCGAGUUUCAAAUUGGAUGAGGAUGUCCUCAAUUUUCUUGGUUUAAUUCUCCUUCUCCUUAAGAUUAAGAAGCUCUUUUCAAGGAUAGAUUGGGUUUUCCUAACUAUAGAUUCUCUUAACCUUUGUCUUAUUGUCUCUACAGUGUGUUUUAGGAGAUAAAUCCCUCUAUAAUUUUGUAUUGACUUUAUUUUUCUUU